rnacentral:lncRNA from 1 species
UUUUUUUUUUUUUUUGUGUCUGGUUGAUCUUGUAAGAGCAAGAGGAAUGAUUACUAAGUCUGUUUUCCCAUGAAGUUUUAAAGAGAGGUUUGUGGUUUAUCUAAUUCUCUUAUUCAUUUUAGUUGGUAUUUUAGAGCCUUAAGCAGUAGUUUACAUACUGUUGAAUAUAUCUAGAUAUGUGUGAUAUAUUAUACAUCAAUUAUAGGGAUUAGAUAGCCUGAUUAUUAGCCUGAUUAUCCUAGUUUAAUUAUAGGAAGUAGAUAGCUAAUUAUUCUAGCUUGAUUUUAGGGUCUUGAUAGCUUGAUUUUAGGAUCUAGAUUAUUUCAAUCUUGUAUAUAUAUGUCAGUUGUACUACUCACAUAUGAGUAAGUAGGAAUGUCAUCCCAAAAUAUCUUCCUCUCUUGCUUCUUCUCUUUCAUGGUAUCAGAGCAAGUGAGAAAGAGAAAUUCGUUUUCUAAUCAUCCCACCCGGUGAUUUUCUUUAACCCAAUAUCAUUAUGUCUACAUCCGAUACAUCUAUAACAUCUACAUCUAAAUCCACAACUCCUCUCAUGGCCAAUCCAUCUAUUACUGGUUGUACUAUUAUUACUACCGAAAAACUAAAAGGCAGUAACUACUCUACUUGGGCUGCUGACGUUGAGCUAUGGUUUAUGGGACAAGGAUAUAAAGAUCAUCUUACUACUAAACCUGAUGAUACUAUGACUGAUCCAUCCAAGUGGGAGCGAAUCGAUGCUCAAUUGUGUAGCAUGCUUUGGCAAACCAUUGAUUCUUCACUAAAGCAAAUUUUCCGUCCACAUAAGACUUGCUUUAGUGUUUGGGAGCAGGCCAAAGCAUUAUACACUAAUGAUAUAACUCGUGUUUAUGCCGUUUGUUCUGAUUUGAUGAGUCUCAUUGCACCUCGAAAACUUGAUAUGCCUAUGAGUUCUUACUUAGGCAGAAUUCAAGGGGUCCUUUCCGAUUUCAAUGAGUUGCUACCCCCUGCUGCAACUCAGCAGGAACAACUCUCUCAGCGAGGUACAUUUUUUAUGCUUUUGGCUCUCUUUGGAUUACCUGCAGAAUAUUCUACCAUUCGUGAUCAGAUUCUUGCUAGCCGCACAAUUCCUACUUUGUCUCAAGCUUUUUCACGGCUGUUACGGCUCCCGGAUGAAUCAAAAUCAUCUUCGGAGACUAUCGUUGUUGAUUCAUCAGCUUUGGCAUCUCAAUCCAGCCAAAGAGGAGGUCGUGGACGUGGCCGUGGUCGAGGUGGUUAUAAUGGUAACAAAAAUCGACCCUACUGUGACUAUUGUAAAAAGGUUGGCCACACAGAAGAUCGGUGUUGGCUCCUGCAUGGACGUCCUCCCCAACAAGUGACGAAUAUUGUUCAAUCCGAACCUUGCGCAAGUUCAGAACCAACUCUCAAGCCCGAGUAUGAAGAUUUUGUGAAAUGGUUUACAGUCAAACAGUCUUCCACACCUACUGCCUCAGUUGUACACACUAGUAAUGUUAGUGCAUGUGUCUCUCAAUCUCCAUCUCUUGGCCCAUGGGUUUUAGAUUCUGCUGCCACAGAUCAUAUUUCUGGUAAUCCACAACUUUUCUCUUCACUCCACAGUUCUACUUCUCUACCCAAUAUUACUCUUGCUGAUGGCUCACAAACCCAAGCUAAAGGGAUUGGCAAGGCUAAUCCUCUACCUUCUGUGCCUCUCGAUUCUGUUCUUUUUGUACCCAAUUGUCCUUUUAGUUUAGUAUCUGUUCGUCGUUUGUGUCGUUCUCUUAACUGCUUAGUUACAUUUGAUGAGGAAUCUGUAAUUUUACAGGAUCGAGGUACGAGGCGGACGAUUGGCACAGGGCGUGAGUCUCAGGGACUUUACCAUCUGUCUUUACCAACACCAGUAUCUUGUUCUGUCGUAGAUGAUCCUCUGCUAAUCCAUAGUCGUUUGGGUCAUCCAAGUUUAAAUAAGUUUCGAAAGAUGGUGCCAUCUAUUACUAUGUCUUCCUUAGAGUGUGCAUCAUGUCAGCUUGGAAAACACACUCGUAGUCAUUUUCCGAAAAGGGCUAAUAGUAGAGCUGAAUCUCUAUUUUCUUUGGUCCAUACUGAUAUUUGGGGACCGAGUCGUGUUAUUUCUACUUUAGGUUUUCAGUAUUUUGUCACUUUCAUUGAUGAUUAUUCUCGUUGUACUUGGGUGUUUCUUAUGAAGAAUAGAUCUGAAGUGUUUUCUAUUUUUCAAAGUUUUGUCUCUGAAAUUCAAACACAAUUUGGUGUUUCCAUAAAAAUCUUACGUAGUGAUAAUGCACAUGAGUAUUUCUCCACCUCUUUCAAGUCCUUUAUGGAGUCUAAAGGGAUCAUUCAUCAAUCAUCAUGUUCUCACACCUCACAACAAAACGGGAUUGCUGAAAGGAAAAAUAGACAUUUGGUUGAAACAGCACGUACUUUACUUCUUCAUGCAAAUGUUCCGUUACGUUUUUGGGGGGAUGCCAUUCUCACUGCAUGUUAUUUGAUUAAUCGCAUGCCAUCAUCUGUCCUUAAGGAUCAAGUUCCUUACUCUUUUGUAUAUCCUAAUACUCCACUAUUUUCUAUUUCCCCUCGUACAUUUGGCUGUACAUGUUUUGUACAUGAUUUCACUCCUGGAAAAGAUAAGCUGUCUUCACGUGCUGUCAAAUGUGUAUUUUUUGGGUACUCUCGAACACAAAAAGGGUACAAAUGUUUUUCUCCUGAUCUUAGACGAUACAUCAUCUCUGCAGAUGUUACGUUCUUUGAGUCUACUCCUUUCUUUCAGCUUAACAAGUCUGAGCAUUCUACAAUCACGGAGGAUAUUCCUGUUUCUACUUAUUUUGUUCCUCUAACUCAUGACACUGACAUUAGUCAGCCUCCUAAAGAGUCCUUACCUUCACCCGCAUCACCACCAUUGCUCACUUACCAGAGACGCAAUGUAAGGAAUUGUCCUACUACAGUUCCAGAUAAUGGUGUUGGAGAAUCUGCUGAUGUCCCUGAUGCCUCACGAACUAUUCCAAGUUCGUCACCUACCACGAUCUCCUCUCCAGCCAGCCCACCCAUUGCUGUCCGCAAAGGUAUUCGUUCUACUCGCAAUCAAUGUCCCAACUAUACUUGUCUCAAUUAUCAGCGCGUCUUCAUCCUAUUAUGCCUUUUUGUCCUCUUUGUCGUCCAUGUCUGUUCCUAAAACUAUAGGUGAGGCUAUGUCCCACUCUGGGUGGCGUCAGGCAAUGAUAGAUGAAAUGGCUGCUCUUCACUCCAAUUCCACUUGGGAGCUGGUCCCACUCCCACCUGGUAAAUCAACUGUUGGUUGUCGUUGGAUUUAUACUGUUAAAGUUGGUCUGGAUGGUCAAAUUGAUCGUCUUAAAGCUCGUCUAGUAGCUAAGGGUUAUACUCAAAUUUUUGGUCUGCAUUAUACUGACACCUUUUCUCCAGUGGCCAAGAUGUCUUCUGUUCGUCUCAUCUUAUCUCUUUCUGCUGUUCAUCAUUGGCCUUUGCACCAAUUAGACAUCAAGAAUGCAUUCCUUCAUGGUACAUUGCAGGAGGAAGUUUAUAUGGAUCAACCACCUGGUUUUGUUAUUCAGGGGAAGUCUAGUGGAAUGGUUUGUCGACUAAAACGUGCACUCUAUGGUCUCAAACAAUCUCCUCGGGCCUGGUUUGGACGCUUUCGUGAUGUUGUCCAAAAAUAUGGCAUGAUCCGUAGUGAGGCUGAUCAUUCAGUGUUUUAUCGUCAUUCUCCAUCAAAAGGUAGCAUUUAUCUUGUCGUUUAUGUCGAUGAUAUUAUUAUCACUGGACAGGAUCAUGAUGGAAUUGCUCAGUUAAAGAACCACCUUUUUGGCCAUUUCCAGACGAAAGAUUUGGGCAAGUUUCGUUAUUUCUUGGGUAUCGAAGUUGCCCAAUCCAAAGAAGGUGUUGUUAUUUGCCAACGAAAAUAUGCAUUGGACAUUUUGGAGGAGGCAGGCAUGUCAAAUGCUAAGCCUGUCGAAACUCCAAUGGAUCCCAAUAUUAAAUUAUUUCCAGGACAGGGGGAGCCACUUAAGGAUCCUGGAAAGUAUCGUAGGCUUGUGGGAUGGUUGAACUAUCUUACAGUAACACGUCCUGACAUAUCUUUUUCUGUCUUAGUGAUCAGUCAGUUUUUAGAUUCCCCGUGUGAUAUUCAUUGGAAUGCAGCUCUCCGCAUUCUCAAAUAUAUCAAAGGAGCACCUGGCCAAGGAUUGUUGUAUACUGAUAAAGGAAACAUGCAAGUAAUUGGUUACACUGAUGCAGAUUGGGCAGGAUCAUCUAUUGAUCGUCGUUCUACCACCGGUUAUUGUAUUCUGGUUGGUGGCAACUUAAUAUCUUGGAAAAGUAAAAAACAAGAUGUGGUUGCUAGAUCCAGUGCUGAGGCUGAGUAUCGAGCCAUGGCUAUGGCUACAUGUGAGCUAAUAUGGCUUAAACAAUUGCUCAAUGAGUUGAAUUUGGGGACUAGUGACCCAAUGAAGUUGAUUUGUGAUAAUCAAGCUGUACUCCACAUUGCCUCCAAUCCAGUCUUUCAUGAGAGGACUAAGCACAUUGAAGUUGAUUGCCAUUUUGUUAGAGAAAAAUUGAUCUCCAAAGUUAUUGAGACGGGUUUCGUUAAUUCAAGUGAUCAACUUGCAGAUUUUCUUACCAAGUCCCUAAGAGGUCCUCGUAUAAAAUAUAUAUGUGGCAAGCUUGGUGCAUAUGAUUUGUAUGCUCCAGCUUGAGGGGGAGUGUUGAAUAUAUCUAGAUAUGUGUGAUAUAUUAUACAUCAAUUAUAGGGAUUAGAUAGCCUGAUUAUUAGCCUGAUUAUCCUAGUUUAAUUAUAGGAAGUAGAUAGCUAAUUAUUCUAGCUUGAUUUUAGGAUCUUGAUAGCUUGAUUUUAGGAUCUAGAUUAUUUCAAUCUUGUAUAUAUAUGUCAGUUGUACUACUCACAUAUGAGUAAGUACGAAUGUCAUCCCAAAAUAUCUUCCUCUCUUGCUUCUUCUCUUUCACAUACAAAAUGAUAAUUAAGCAGUAGUUAAUCUAAAAAUUUUUGUUUGUCCAAUGCUUGGUGUCUAGUAGUGAGAAGCUAAAUUGUGUAGUUCAGAUUUUUCUGCUCAUACUUGAUUGGCUCCAAUUGGUAGAUAGCACCAUGCGAGUCUGCAGAAGAUGGGGCUUGUUACUGUGUUUCUCUUUUAAUUCCUGGUUUGUCAUCCUUCUAAAAUGUCCAGAGAAUCUUUUUCAUGCUUACUCUUGUGCUAACCUCCUGCUUCUCUUGGUUUUGAGCCAAAUGAAAAAUCUGCUGAUAUCCAUUGCUAGUGGCUACUUGACUCAAUCUUAAUAGCUUUCUAAGCACUGAUUCUAAAAAUUUUCUUUUUGAGUCAGGAAGGUUGGGUGAAGAUUGUUUUUGGUGUUUUUGAGGCAAGCAUUAACUAUCGCAAACAUAUUGUCUUAUCAAGGAUCAAGAUAAUUGAUAAUAGAUUGCUUUGCUAAAUAUUGGCCUAAAGAUGGUUUGUCAUUGUUGCUUUAGUUGUUUUCAUCAUUCGUGCCUAAAGAGAGCAAUAGAUUCUAUAAGAAGAAUCAUGCCGUCUUUUGCUUCUCAUGCAAUCCAGAAUGCCUUUAGGUUCUUUCCAAGUAAUGUGCAUUCUUUGAUGUAUUGCCUCUUUAUCUGAUAUUGCAGACAAUUUUAAUCACAUCUAAUGGAGCUUUGAAGCUAGGUGGAUUUGGUUUCGCAAUAUCUACAGAUCAAUCAUCCAGUGAUUGAGCAAAUUUGCAGGCUUUCCACUAUGCUGUGAGUGUAAAUUUUUAGAUCCAUUAUGGAAACACAAUACUGUUGCAUUCGUAUUUUUUUUUAGAUCUUUUACUGCAUUUCUGUUUUCUGAAAUUGUAUUUUGAUUACAUUUAUCUGACCCCUAUUUGAUAAGUUGCUGUUCCAACAACUACUUCUUGAACUCUCAUGGAAAACUGAUACAGGAACUUUCGUCUAGUAUGCUUUACUCUGAAAAGAGACUCUUGGCACCUCCCCUAUUUAAGGUUGGUUUCUUUUCACCGUAAUAACAUUAAGUCUUUGGAAGACAGGAGCAAAAUACUGGGAGACCAAGAACUUUCUUGCAUUGAUGUUAUGUACAAACAAAAAGCACAUUUGGUUUUGCAAAUUGUUUAGUACCCGAGCUUAAAUUAUUGUGAUCACUACAAGAGAAGUUUUUCUUUUGUGAUUGCAGGGCUUUGUUGGUAAGAAGAAUAGGCUUGUUACUUUCACAAUGUCUGAGAUUCUAUUGUAGUAGCAUCAUUGUCUCGAGUUGUGGACUAGGUUUUACAGGUAGUGCAUCUGAUAUGGGUUGGGAUUAAUUGUUGGGAAAAGUUUUGAGUGCAAAGUCUUUUUCUAGAAGGGACAUUUUUGAUUUGGAGUGAGAGAGUGAAUUUCAAGUUUGGAGAAUGGUCAUGAAAGUGGAUUAUGCUUCUUUCUAGGUUGAUAUGCGCCAGGAAUAUGAAGAGGAAUGGUGUAUAAUUUUUUUUUUCUUUUUAUAUAACUUUUGGUAUGGGCUUAUGUUGUUAUGGAGGUACAUAGCUGGAGAGGUAGAAGAAACUGCGUGACCAGAAUAAAACUUGUAAGAGGCAUGGCAGAAAAACAAGAAGUAAAAGUGAUGUCUCAAUCUCUGGUUAAAAGGAUCUUAGAGGCCAGUUUCAACUUAAAAGUUCUUUAAUGCUCCCUUUUCAAGUUGUUGACUUGUCGUCUCUCUCUGAGCAGGAGGAGAGGCCAAAGUUGAUUGCAAUUUCCUUCCAAUCCUUUACUAAGUUUGAACUGAGUAUGUAGAGUAAUACUAAAACAAUACAUAGACAAAAAUCUGAUUUCCUCGGGUAUAACAUGUUGUAUCAUCUCUGUUUAGGAGGAUUCCAGAGGCCAGGUUCAAACUUUAAGUCCUUCCAUAUGGUUUAGCAACAGUUCUGAAUUGAUAGGAAGAGGAUUAACAUAUUUAAUUCAGUUCUUCUCUUUCUGUUUUUCUUGGUAGUUUUACUAUCUUGCUGUGUAUUUAAGCAGAUGGCCUUAACUUCUAAUUGCAAUUGCAUUGUAAUCUUCCAGUUUUGUCUAUAAGUUGCUCUGCAUAGAAUAAAUUGUUACGUAUGGCCGAAGAAAGUUUUGAAAGGAUUGUUUCUGUUGUAUUUGUAUGCUUUGUCUCUUUGUUCUCGAGAUGUGCAACACAUUCGGCAUCAAAAUUUUUGCAGCAGUUGAUUGGAGUUCUAUUAACUGGUCUAUUGGAUUCUAUCUGGAACUACUUAGGCUCUAACUAGUCCGCUAAUAUAAUUCUUUGACAGGAAUAUGAUGUUGAAAAUUCUAUUUUGCCCCUUCAGCCAGCACUGGACUACACUGCUCCUGAACUUGUUCGAAGUAAAACAUCUACAGUUGGAUCUGCCUCUGAUAUCUUCAGUUUUGCAUGUCUUGCCUGCCACUUCGUUGCUCGAAAACCAUUGUUUAAUGGUCACAACAAUGUCAAAAUGGUAUUUAUCUAAUAUUUCCUGGCGCGAUGAUUCGCACAAUUUAUGGUUGGAGUAGGAGAUUUUAGAUUGUAGCAAUGAAUUGCUGUAUGGUUAUAAGAUGACAACAUUAUGACUAAAAUAGAUACUCUGCUAAAAUGAAUAAUAGUCUGGUUAAUUGGUCUCUUGAAUGAGAAGUACAGUUGUUUUCCUGUUCUGCUGGAUUAUUCAUUGCUGCCUCAAAAUACUGUGUAUCUUUAUUAUAGAUGUGUUCAUAUGUUUAAUUUGCACAGUAAUAGCGUUUGUGACUUUUUAUACUAAUGUCCCUAUGCAACUCAAGUGCAGGACAUGAAUACUUUGACAUACUUAUCCAGUGAGGCUUUCUCGUCAAUACCGUGGGACUUGGUUUCUGACUUGCAAAGGAUGCCUUCUUCUAACAAGGCUUUGAGGCCAACAGCAAUGGACUUUACAGGUAAGGAUGUGAGACUAUCUUCGCACACAUAUGCUUUGGUGAUAUUGUAUGAGAUGAACAUCUGGGAAGUAGCAUUUUGAGAGAAUUCCUGUCCUAGUUUUCUUUGAAGCUUUUAUGUUUUUGUUUUUGAUGGUUGGGCUAGGGGGAAGAUGGCAGAUACUCCUCUAUAGUAUUUUAACAAGAAAGAGACACAUUCUCUAAAUAAUUGUAGGAUGUGAAAAUAGAUGGAGAGCAUCUGGAAUGUGGUAGUAAAAUGGUCUUUUUGUCUUUGUGGCUGUAAGUUAAGGAGGCUUUGGACUAGCAAUUUAACUAUUGUUUAGAGGAGGCUUUGUGGUUUGUGAGCUUGGGUAAUGUUGAAUAGCUUACUUCUGUUCUUAUUGUGUUUAGGAUUUUUAUUAAGGUUUAUCUUGUAUUCUGUAUAACCAAAUGCACAUUCCUUCUUUGCAGGGUCACCUUUUUUUCGUGAUGACACUAGGUUGCGUGCACUUUGUUUCCUGGAGCACAUGCUUGUAUGCUUUUUUAUAUCAGAAGAGGCUUAGCAAGGACAAUUAUUUUUUGUAUUAGAAUGUUAUGGAACAUUGAGUAUUCCUACUCAAACUCUGCUUUAUUGCAGGAAAGGGAUAACAUGCAGAAGACCAAGUUUCUAAAAGCAUUAUCAGACAUGUGGAAAGAUUUUGAUCCGCGUGUCUUGCGGUAUAAGGUUUGUUUAAUAUGACUUUAUAACGUUGUCUGACAUACUUCUUCAAGCUGUAUGUGCUUUUAUAUUUUUUACAGAACCAAAUAACUAGGUGAUUGCAGGAAUAAUUGAUUUCAUGAUGUCUGAAGUCCCUUUUAGAUGAUUCUACAGUGAUUUUGGAUAUUUAACCAAGUUGACUCCUGGUUACCUUGUUUCACUGUCUAUUUAGACUCCAAAACAUCGCAUGAAACCCUUCUCUUGCCUUAACAUCUCUGAUAGUGCCCCCACAGAUAAAAGAGGACAAAUGGAAAAAGAGAAAAGAGUUAGUAAAUAGGGUAUUGUUAAGCAGCGAGUCAUACCGAUGUUGGACAUGGAUGAGACAUUUUAAUUCCUUUUGCUGUGGAAAGAGUUUUAAUGAGAUGGCUCUUAUCUUGAUGAUCUUUGCAGGUACUUCCACCACUUUGUGCUGAGCUUCGAAAUCUGGUCAUGCAGCCAAUGAUACUUCCCAUGGUUCUUACAAUAGCAGAGUCUCAGGUACCAUUGAUACUAAUGCCUGCAAAUCUUGAUCCAUAUGCCCAUGCUCAAUGACAAAAUAAGGAGCCUUCAUUUUUGAGCCUGAACUUGAACAUGGCCAAACAGUUGAGUUUUGCCAGUGUUUUUUUUGUUCCCCAUGUUGCCAGCUAUGUUAAAUCUUCUGCCGUUCGCUGUGAAAGAUGUUAAGCUACAUUUUAUUCUUAUUUCUUUUUAUAUUUCAAGUAAAAUAUUGAUAGAGAUUCAUAUAGUUUAUCACAUUGAUAAGAUAAGCUUCUCAGUGCCAUGCUGUCAACAAGUUCAGAUCUGGAAGGUUUUGAGAUUUAUGAAAAAGUUGGACUUCAUUAAACAGAAUGGCAGGAUAGUCUAGGAUUAGUUUUUGAAAGAAAGUCAUAGUAUUCAAGGAACAAGGUUAAAAGUCUCUUUGCAGUCCUUUAGUCAUGCAUGAUUCAACCAAAUUGGUUUCCAGAAAGAUUAAUUGAGGAAGACUCUAGCAUGUGCAAUGGAAAGAAUUUCACUUGCACUCUUCACAAAGGCUAUAGCAUUUCCUGCAAUGGUUGGCAUAAGCUCUGACAGGUGAGUUUGAAAUGAGAGUUUCUUUUGGUUUGAUAUGUCAUAUAGAUGAAAGAGAUGAUAAUAUUGAGGAGCUUCCAAGAAUGCUGUUUCUGGAUGUCAUGUUCAGGUUUUUCUGCCAAUGAAGCAAAACAUCUUAACAAAAUCGAUUAUUUGAAGACAUAUGUUAACUCAGUCUACUCCAGACCAAUGGGCCCUGGUUGAUGUGAUUUCUCCUACUUCUAUUUUUGAUCAAGAUAUGUUGUGCAGUACCCUUUUGAAACGCUUAUAAUUUAUGAAAAUUAACAAUGAUAUUGUGGCAUUAUGAAAUUUUUUUGUUUUAUUACUCUUUUGCUUACGGCACAACCCUUGCCUCAGGUUCUGAUUGCAGGUCAUACAGAAAUGAUUAUCUUGCUUGUUCAUGUGGACCAUGUUGUGAUAUUGUCCGAUAAAUGUGGAGUUUGGUAGGAGAUAAUUAUGAAACUUGUAUAUCACAUAAUUCGUAGAUUUAUGCGUAUAAGAAUUUUGCAGGACAAAAAUGAUUUUGAGCUGUCCACUCUUCCAGCUCUUGUUCCUGUCCUAAAUAGUGCUGCAGGUGAGACAUUGUUGCUACUUGUGAAGCAUGCUGAGCUUAUUAUCAAUAAGGUAACAGAGAUAGCUUUGAAGAACAUCUGCUAAUGCAAGAAAUUGCUUGCUUUUGGAUGUACUGUUUUUCUUUUGGUCAAUGCCUUUACAUUUUCUUUUUGUUAAUUUCUUAUCAUAGAAUUUUUUCCUUUUAGAUUCAUAUCAACUUAAUGAUUAGGAGAUAAAUCUGAUUUGUUUAGUAAAAUGUCUUAAAUUCGUAUGCAGAAAUUGGUAAUUAACUAAUUGUUCUUGGGAAUCUAUAUUAGUUGUAAGAGUGGUUCACUUUAUGGUAGCUUAUUGUGAUUUUUAUGUAUUAGUCAAUUAAAGGAUACUGCCAUAUGUGUUUGUUUAGUUAGAACUUGAUGAGCCCUUGCCUGUGAAAAAUUUAUGUUUGUCUGAACUAGUUCUGUUAUGCCAUUUAAUGUACAAAUGGCUAUUAUCUGUUUUGAAGUGUUAGUUUUGAGGUUCAGAAAAAGUGACAAUUUAAACUCACUGCAGCAGGCUUCACCCGAAAAGAUAAUCAAGCUGUGGGAGUUGGUCAUUCUUUGUGUACUUGUAGAUUUACAUACAAGGAAAAAUAAAUCAAGCUGUGGGAAAAGGGGAAAAGAUCAAGCUGUGGGAGUCGGUCAUUUUAUGUGUACUCGUAGGUUUACAUGCAGAAAACUUGAAGUUCAGUUCCUAUUCCCGUCACUCCUGACACCACUCAAUUAAAGUUGUUGUCUUUGCUGGGAUUGUUUUAUGUCAUGGUGUUGAAUAAUUUUCCUAGAAGCAUUGAUUCAUUACUUGGUAGUUGGUAUGGAAUUCGGGGUAUUGAUGCAAUUGCUGUGAGUUUUCUUAGUGAGCAUUAAGGUGCUGCUUUAACUUGUCUAAUUGGACUUGUUUAAGUGGAUGGAUUAGUCUGGUAAAUUAUCUUCAUUUCUCCUAAUCCUUUUUGGGGGGUGUCUGAAUAAUAUUUAGUCCAGUAUGAAAUGGGCGUUGAUUAUCAGAUGUGGGGUUAUUCUCAAAGCAUUGAACCCUUGAAGUUUUACAUGCAAAAGCUAUUUUGGUCUUUCAUUUUUGCUUAUAAUUCUGUUUUAUCUGUCUAUGAUGUAAUGAAAAUUUCCAAGAAACUCCUGCCGGUAGCUGCAUUGUUAUUGUAGUGCUUUCUGGUCGUUGGUUUAUAUGUACUUUUAGGUGUCCGCUAAUAAAGUUUGACUUGGCUAUGGUGUCUUAAACUAUGACUAGGAACAUGUAAUAAUAAAUUCUAGGUGAGGUGGCUUUGGAAGGAAUUUGAAAUGUAGCCCUCCAGUACAUUAGAAUUCAUAAAUGGUAAUUUUCCAAAUGGUGUGAUGGGAAAGCCUUAUCCUGCCUUUCAAGAGUGAAUCCAAUUUUGGGACUAUUACUAUUAACGUCUAGACUGGAAAAUUUGAAACGAAAGUUAUUUGGUGAGAGGAUUAAAUGAGAAGAAGAUACUGUGAGAAAUUUAGUUGAGCUAAUUACAAUUAAAAUGCUUUCCACUUGCAGUUUUGGUUUAUUGUUGGUUUAGAUAACCAUUGUGUUUUAAACUCUUUGUUUAUUUCUUUGCCCUGUCAUUAAGCUGCUAAGUAGUUAAAAGAUGGGUUAUGACCAUGGCUUAUACUCAUUUAACUAGCAAUUUUUACAUGUUUUAUCAGGCUAGUCAUGAGCACUUGAUUUCCCAUGUUCUACCGAUGCUUGUUCGAGCCUAUGAUGACACUGAUGCUCGUAUGCAAGAGGAAGUUCUGAAAAAGACUGCAUCGCUUGUUAAGCAGCUUGAUGUUCAGGUAAUUGGCAAGUGCAUAUCCAUUCUUAUUGUUUUAGUGUGUAUUAGCUUAGUGCUUCUCAGGACCCUUUUUUCUUGUCAAUUUGGAUAUUCAUGUGUAUCUUUUGCAGUAGCAAACUCUUAUUAUGUUGUUGUCAUAUAAUUUGCAGUUUUAGCCUGAUGUCUUGGUCCUCUAAUAAUUUCUUAAUGAAUCAUAGCCUUUAAAUGGCAAGAUUUCUGAAGUGUUUUCGUUUCUAGUCUUGCACUGACGAUUAGUAAGUGGUGAGCUCUGUGAAUAUUAGGCUUUAUGAUAAGUUUUCUCGAUUGUUCAGGAGGAUAUAAUUGGCUUGGUGUGAAGAGGUAAAUGUCUCACUUGUUACAGGAUAGUGUACUCGUACGUCUUCUUGAAGUCCAUAUUUUCUGGAUAUUUGCUUCUUAGAGAUAAUGUGAUUCAGCCCUUGAUAUUCUUGAACCGUUGUCAUAUGACUAAAACUGCAAUUAUUUUUUUAACUAAAUUUGGCUUAAAUUAGGCUAUACAGCCUAUACCGACCACGACUUAGGAACAAAGCUUUUCGGUUUCAAAAGAAGAUGCCCUCACUAACUUACCCUACUCCUCCCGCGGCCUCCUUUGGUUCUGUCGGUUGAUCUCUCUCUCUCUCUCACCCUUCCUGCAGGAAGUCUCCAAUCUCUCAAAGUCCAAUCAGCCACCGGCAAUUUAUCUUCCUUCCUAUACUCUUCUCUUCUUUUUGCUACUCGUGGUGUACCACCAAAACACCAAGUUUUCAGCUGCGAUAUUGGGCUAAUCUAGAUUGUGUUUGUUACCAAAUUUAGCAUCUGUUUCUUACUUAAUUCAGGUAAUUAACUAUUAGCUGCAUACUAACUGGGACAACUUCCAGAUUAGCAUUAGAUUGUUAUUGAAUUUAUUGGGCUGCUAUCUCUCACUUGCUUAUUUGCUGUCUAGUUGCAUUUUUCUUUUUUUUCUUCAUUUUUGAGUGGAUCAAGCCUGUAACUUCAUUUACCUGUCUAGGUUUUUUGUAUACUUAUUAUUAUUCAAGAAAGUUGAUUCUUUUACUUAAUUUUCUAAAACCCCACUUGCAUUUAGUAAAUUUGAGUCACAAUUUCCAAGUAUUGCACACUAAUUUGAUCAAAAAUUGCAUUUUGUUAAAGUGUAUUUUUUUUAUGUGACAAGUGUAAUAUGCAUUUCGAACUCAAAUUUUGCUUUGUAAUUGUGGUAUAAUGUAAUUUUCAAAGUAAAGAAAGAAAAAUAAUCUUUUUCCUAAGAAGAAAAUCGUUACUUAAGUGGCUGAUUGAUGCAUUUUAAUGCAUUUUCCUUUUGUUUUCUUCUUCUGCCCCUUUUUGUCAGCCAUCUUCAACUAUAUACAUGUCGGCACUUGCAGUAACAGAAAGACUGCAGAUGGAGAUGGUGCCAGAUACCGAAGCAUUUAUGAAGUUUGCAUUCCACCAAGCAAAACUUGCUUUAGAUAGCCUUGAAGUUUCUGUUGGCUGUGUUAUUGUGGAUGAAGGAAAUAACGUUAUUGCCUGUGGAAGAAAUCGAACCACUGAGAGCCGAAAUGUUAUGAGGCAUGCAAAGAUGGAAGCCAUUGAUGUGCUUCUGGACUAGUGACGAGAAACUGGACUUUCAAAGGCUCAAGUUGCUGAAAAGUUUUCAAACUGCACCUUUUAGAGCAAAUUAUCCGGUUGACUACUAAACUUUUGCAAUCGUCGAGUUUUGGUCACUCAACUAUUAAAAGUCUGAUUUUGACCACUAAAAUGUAUAAUGUUAAGACGCAAGACUAUUCUGUUAGAUUUAGUCGUUAAGUUCUCCGAUCUGUCUGUUCGUAUGAUUUUCAAGAUAAAAAGCAAGGUCAAUUUAGAAAGUUCAACAUUGGCCAUCCUCUUACACAGCUUCAUCUCCUCUCCAAUAGAGGAGAUUUGACUCUGAUUCCCCUAUGGCAGAAGAAACAAUGUCAGCCUCUGAUUCUCAUAUGGCAAAUCUCCAACUAAAACUUUCUUCUCCUCUCUAGCCACUAGAUUUCCUUCUCCAACGUGGUUUUUGGCCGUCGGCGUUGCCAAUUUUAGAGCAAGGGUGAUGGAAGGCUUUGGGGAAGUGCAAAAUCAACACAAAUUUCUCUAUUUUGGAAUAGAUCAAUUUUGAGGGCGCAUAAUUAUGCUUCCAUUGGAGAUACUUUAGAAUCAGAAUGGAUAGCUUACUGCCAAAGAUGAAGGUUAAGAGGAUAGUUUGGAAAAGCAACAGCAAGGAAAGAAUUGCGAAUGAAGUUAAUGAUGACCAUGAUAGCUCUUCAAGAAUAUCUCAGGAUGAUGCAAAAAAAACAGUUGCUGAUCUGAUUGUUCGCAUCUUACUGCUGUCCCAAAAACUAGUGAUUCCGAUGCAUCAAUGAACCUCCAACAUGAUUUGCAGAACCAGCUUCUUUGUGAUUCUUAGAUGUCUAUAUUACAAACAAACAAUACACUAUAUGGGCCUUGUAUGAUGCCCCUUCUUCUUAUUUCCAAUUUGUUAGCUCCCUACGAUAUUGGAUUUCAGAAUGAAUAUUUUUCUUCUCUCGAAACCUCUCUAGCUUUCAAUUUUGUUACUGUAGCUACUCUAGUUCUCACUCCAAGUAUUCUGUUCGUUUCAGGAACUAAGUACUCGAAGGGAGAGGUUCGUUAAACUUGUUAAAUUGAUCCUGUCUUUUGUUUUGGAAAUCACGCGGACAGACAGAUCGACGAACUUAACAGUUAAAUCUAACAGAAUGAUCUCGCGUCUUAACUUUAUACAUUUUAGUGGCCAAAACUAGACUUUUAAUAGUUGAGUGACCAAAACUCGACGAUUGUAAAAGUUUAGUGGCCGAUCGGAUAAUUUGGUCGCACCCUUUAUGUCACAUGCGAGCCGUGCAUUAUGUGUGUUGCAGCCUUAUCAUUGCUUGGUAUAAAACAAGUGUAUUGUGGCAGUGCAAAUGAUAAUUUUGGAGGCUGUGGAUCGAUAUAGUCACUGCAUUCUGGAGAUCAUUCGAGGAGGGGUUUCAAGUGCCAAGGAGGAAUAAUAGCAUCAAAAGCAGUCUCUCUUCUACGGGCUUUCUAUGAGCAGGGAAAUCCCAAUGCACCUAGGCCUUAUAGACCACCGAGUCAAUUGGCUUAGGACUGUGUAGAUUCUCUGAUUUAGAUCAAUGAAAGUGAUCGACUCUUUCUUGUUCCUAAAAUGAUACCUCUGUAAUCAUUCAUUAUUAAGAGAUUUGUUAGUGAAAUAAGGAUUGCAUCAGUAAGCUUCGAAGUAAGGCCUUAUCUAUCUUCCCCACAAAUUUUUAAUUGCCUUCGAAAUCUGUCUUUUGAAGUUUUCGUUCGACAUUUGUAACUAAGUAGUUUCGCAGCUAAAAAACCUACAAUCCAGAUUCCGACAUAUAAUGAGCUGUAGAAUUAUAGUAGACUUUGUGACAAGGGAAGAAGCCCCAAAUUGGGGUGAUUGACUCUGCCAAGAAAAAGAAAUUGCGCCAAAAAUGAACAAAUUUGGGUUAUUGGUUCAUUGUUUUUCCCCCUUUUCGUUAAAUGCACUAAGCCCUCCUUAAAUUUAUACCUAAAUGCUGUUUAAUAAUUUUUAGGCACUUAAUUUUAUACCUAAAUGUUCCCUAAAAAAAAACCUUUAUACCUAAAUGAUAUAUAUAUAUAUAUGUAUAUAUAUAUAUAUAUACUCGAUCAAAUGUACCGUUGUUAUGUUAAUUACCUUUAUCGCCUUUGUUUACUUUUAAUUUCUUUUCUUUCUAUCUCCCUUUUCUCAUGCUACUUUUCAUAUUAUCUGUAAAUAAUUGUACAUUUUAGUGUAGGAUAGGAGUUUAUUUGAAAGAUUUAUUUGAAAUAAUAGUGAUGUGAUGUAUGUGAAAUAAAAAAGUAAUUAAAAUUUGAAAAGCAAAUUAUUUUAUUUCACAAUAUUUCAAUCCAAACACACCUGGGAAAUUUGGAAAGCAACUCCCUCUUCGUUUCAUUAUUUAGAAAUAUUUUACUAAUAAAUAAGCGUCCUGUGGCCAUUGAUGGGUAGGCAGACCAAAAAAAAUCCCAGUUUUUGGAAAAAUUUUCCCUAUCCUUUUCUCCAUUUUCUGAUUUCUUUCUUCUUUUCCCUUUAAAAACUGUUUAAAGGACUAAAGUUUCAGCCACCCCUGCCCGGGCUACUCCCAUCUGAGCCCUGGUUCCCCCGACCUCUCCAGACUCCUCGUCGCCGUCAAUCCGACGUUUCCUCCUGUAAGUCGCCGUGAAUGACCUAAGGCCUCCACAUCGCCUGCUCUUGGUCAAGUUUGUUUCUUAACUUUUUGUUCAUCAAAAUUAAAGUUUUUUUAUGUAAAUUGAAAUAGUCAGGGCUUUGUUACAGUUUCUUGCCUGUUGAUUUCUUUAGCACAUGGAGUCAGGGAUUAGCUUUCUUGCUUUUUGUUAUGAAUUUGCCAUGAAAUCUUGCUGAAACUUUCCUUUGAACUUGCCGUGUGAUAUUUGCAGCUUAUUUAUGUUUGUCCUGUGGAGCUAUUUUUAUUUAUUAUUGCUGUUUUUAAUUCCAAAUAGCAAAAAAUCGACACUUUUAUCUAAUUUACAUGAGAAUAGGAAUGGGUUUCUUAAAAAUCGACUUCAAAGUGGAUUUCAGAAACGGAUUUCUUCUCCGUUUUACCCCCUCCCCUCUUUGCUUUUCUGCUCUUGCUUUUUCCUUUUGCAAUUCACACGACUCCCUAAGAGAGGCAUUCAAACACGGGGGCCUUCGUUUUGGUACACCACAAAUCCACCAUAACUGAUCCCGAUAAUUGAGUAAUUAUUGACACCAUCUUUUCCUACAAAUUUCCAACAUAUACAUUUCAUUUUGGAAAAGCUGGGAUCUUUCAUUGGACAGCAGUGUAUGCUAAAUUCAUGGGCAAAGUACUAUAUGCCCCCUUGAAGAUUGUAGGCAUCAUAUUCAUACAUCGGUUGGCCGUGAAUUGGGAUUAUAGAGGUUUUAUAGGUGAAAAGGUUUCAGUUUUGGACGCCAAAGUUGUAUUGUGACCUGAUUAUGUUGUUUACUGUUCUUGGAGGUAGUAUUUAGUACUUAACAUGCUUGAUUAAGAAGAGUAUAUAGUCACGUUAUCAAAACUAGGGACAGUUGUGCUAAAAGCCUUAAGUAUUUAAUACUACCUUUCCUCUCAGCGGAGACCUUAUUCUUGCAAAAAUACUUCGUUUGGAUUAACUGUUUUUGGGGGUGUUUUUGAAAAAUGUUACUGUAGCAGAGUUUUUAUAGUAUAUUUUGGGAUUUUUUAGAAUAUAUUUUGGGGUAUUUAAAAGUAAUAAAGUUUUUAGAAUAUAUUUUGGGAUAUUUUUCAAACAUUAAAAAAAAUUUAAACUACUUUUAGAGUACUUUUUAAAAAUUUUUAUAGUAUUUGAAAAACUCUUGCUUUGGAUGAUGCUAUACCAUUACUGUAAAUCAUGGCAGACGGUUUUGGUACAGCCAACAAAUUUCCAGCUACAACAUCUGUUAUUAUUCCCUAGUUUAUAUAACAGUGAAGUAAGUGUUCGCAUCAUACCGAGCAGGGAAUUUGAUGUUAACUUCCAAGUUGUCUUACUCGCUGGUUUCUUUAUUUUUUUUGGUGGGAAUUAUUUAUGAAGAGUGAAAACUGAAGAAUAGAGUAACAAUGUCGAGAUUACUGCAGCUUAUGAUCUGCUAUUCAUAACGGAUGAAAGAUGUAGAUCAAGUUUGCUGUAUUGAAAUCAACGUUGUAAAAUGUAGUUAAACACUUGAUAUUUCUGUUAGAGAAGCUAAAGCUAAAUUAAAAUUAUUGCCAUGAAAAUACAAAUUCAGUUGUUUUCCAUUUACUUGUCACAAUUAUAUCAUAUCAUGUCAAUAGAACUUCAUGCCAACACUAAACACUGAUCUAGUACAACUCCGUUUUUCAUGUCCGUCUAAAGUGAUUUCUUCCUUGCAAUAACCAUGGCUGCAAACGCUCCACAGAGACAAUAAUAUCACGCAGAGAGUUUUCCAGUUUCUAACAUUAUUGCUUCUCUUCAACUGCAUUUUGUUCAAACAUCAAAACAGUGCAAACAUUAGGCGUCAUCCUUCUUUCCUUUGCUCAUUUCUCUUGCCUUUUCCUCUAUCUUUCUUUUCCUGGUUGAUGGCGGUUGGUUGAUUUUCAGAUGAUCAUCAGCUACAAAAUCAUCUAAAAAGCAUGUAAAACUUCCUGCGAAAAUCAAUUUGCCCUCUUUUGGAGUUAAGAGAAAAAGAGACAGAGAGAACCGAAUUGAUACUUCUUUGGCGUGAAAUAAGGAGUCGUGUGGCCCUUGUAAGUUUUAAGAGCUAGUGGCAAGAUAAUGAAGCUGAGCAAAAGUAAAAGCAGGCGGACUUAUUGACAACGUUUACUGAUUAGAUAUAUGGAACUACUACAUGUUAUUUCUUUUCUUUUAAUUUUGCACACACACACACAUAUAUAUAUAUAUAUAUAUUGGGUUUUGGUUGCUAAUUAGAAUAAAAUAGGCAAUCUGAAUAUAUAUUAUUGACCAUUACUAUCCUGCUCAAAGCAACCCCCUUCCCCCCACGGCCGCCCCAAAAAAAACCCUUCCUGCCUUUACUUUUUGCAGCACAUAUGAUAAAUUUCAAUGUAAUUUUUGGAUAUUUCCUAUUUAUAAUUCUUUCUAUUUUAUCAUCUAAUCCAACUUUUCGUCAUAUGACUUUUUUUUUUUUGGAACCGUCGUCAUAUGACUAAAACUGCAAUUAUUUUUUUUAACAAGAUUUGGCUUAAAUUAGGCUAUAAAGCCUAUACCGAUCAAUAAGUAGGAAUAAAACUUUUCGGUUUCAAAAGAAGAUGCCCUCCCUAACUUACCCUGCUCCUCUUGUGGCCUCCUUUGGUUCCAUCAGUUAGUCUCUCUCACCUUUCUCGCUGGAAGUCUCCAAUCUCUCAAAGUUCAAUCGGCCACCGGCAAUUUCUCUUCCUUGCUAUACUCUCUUCUUUUUGCUACUGGCAUACCACCAAAACACUAGCAUCCGUUUCUUACUUAAUUCGUGUAAUUAAUCAUUAGCUACACACUAACUCGGAAAACUUCCAGAUUAGCAUUAGAUUGUUAUUGAAUUUAUUGGGCUGCUAUCUCUCACUUCCUUAUUUGAUGUCUAGUUGCAUUUGUCUUUUUUUUCUUCUUCUUUUUUGAGUGAAUCAAGCAUGUAACUUCGUUUACCUGUCUGGGUUUUCUAUAUACUUAUUACUAUUGGAGAAAGUUGAUUCCUUUACUUAAUUUUCUAAAACCCCACUUGCAUUUAGUAAAUUUGAGUCACAAUUUCCAAGUAUUGCACACUAAUUUGAUCAAAAAAUUGCAUUUUGUUAAAGUGUAUUUUUUUUAUGUGACAAGUGUAAUAUGCAUUUUGAACUCAAAUUUUGCUUUGUAAUUGUGGUAUAAUGUGAUUUUCAAAGUAAAGAAAGAAAAAUAAUCUUUUUCCUAAGAAGAAAAUCGUUACUUAAGUGGCUGAUAGAUGCAUUUUAAUGCAUUUUCCUUUUGUUUUCUUCUUCUGCCCCUUUUUGUCAGCCAUCUUCAACUAUAUACAUGUCGGUACUUGCAGUCACAGAAAGACUGCAGAUGGAGAUGGUGCCAGAUACCGAAGCAUUUAUGAAGUUUGCAUUCCACCAAGCAAAGCUUGCUUUAGAUAACCUUGAAGUUCCUGUUGGCUGUGUCAUUGUGGAUGAAGGAAAUAAUAUUAUUGCCUCUGGAAGAAAUCGAACCACUGAGAGCCGAAAUGCUACGAGGCAUGCAGAGAUGGAAGCCAUUGAUGUGCUUUUGGACCAAUGGCGAGAAAAUGGACUUUCAAAGGAUCAAGUUGCUGAAAAGUUUUCAAACUGCACCCUUUAUGUCACAUGCGAGCCGUGCAUUAUGUGUGCUGCAGCCUUAUCAAUGCUUGGUAUAAAACAAGUGUAUUAUGGCUGUGCAAAUGAUAAAUUUGGAGGUUGUGGAUCGAUAUUGUCACUGCAUUCUGAAGAUCCUUCGAGGAGGGGUUUCAAGUGCCAAGGAGGAAUAAUAGCAUCAGAAGCAGUCUCUCUUCUACGGGUUUUCUAUGAGCAGGGAAAUCCCAAUGCACCUAGGCCUCAUAGACCACCGAGUCAAUUGGUUUAGGACUCUGUAGAUUCUCUGAUUUAGAUCAAUGAAAGUGACCGACUCUUUGUUGCUCCUACAAUGAUACCUCUGUAAUCAUUCAUUAUUAAGAGAUUUGUUAGUGAAAUAAGGAUUGUAUCAGUAAGCUUCGGAGUAAGGCCUUAUCUAUCUUCCCCACAAAUUUUUAAUUGCCUUCGAAAUCUGUCUUUUGAAGUUUUCGUUCGACAUUUGUAACUAAGUAGUUUCGCAGCUAAAAAAUCUACAAUCCAGAUUCCGACAUAUAAUGAGCUGUAGAAUUAUAGUAGACUUUGUGACAGGUAAGGGAAGAAGCCCCAAACUGGGGUGAUUGACUCUACCAAGAAAAAGAAAUUGUGCCAAAAAUGAACAAAUUUGGGUUAUUGGUUCAUUGUUUUUCCCCCUUUUCGUUAAAUGCACUAAGCCCUCCUUAAAUUUAUACCUAAAUGCUGUUUAAUAAAUUUUAGGCACUUAAUUUUAUACCUAAAUGUUCCCUCGAAAAAAACCUUUAUACCUAAAUGGUAUAUAUAUAUAUAUAUAUAUAUAUACUCGAUCAAAUGUACUGUUGUUAUGUUAAUUACCUUUAUCGCCUUUGUUUACUUUUAAUUUCUUUUCUUUCUAUCUCCCUUUUCUCAUGCUACUUUUCAUAUUAUCUGCAAAUAAUUGUACAUUUCAAUGUAGGAUAGGAGUUUAUUUGAAAGAUUUAUAUGAAAUAGUUACUGUAAUAUUUGUUAUGAUGUGAUGCGUAUGAGAUAAAAAAGUAAUUGUAAUUUGGAAAGCAAAAUUAUUUUAUUUCAAAACAUUUCCAUCCAAACACACAGGGGAAAUUUGGAAAGCAACGCCCUCUUCGUUUUAUUAUUUAGAAAUGUUUUACUAAUAAAUAAGCCUCCUGUGACCAUUGAUUGGCAGGCAGACCAAAAAAAAAUACCAGUAUUUGGAAAAAAUUUUUUUUCCCUGUCCUUUUCUCCAUUUUUUGAUUUCUUUCUUCUUUGCCCUUUUAAGAAAUGUUUAAAGGAGUUUGGUAAAAGUUUCAGCCACCCCUACCCCGGCUACUCCCAUCUGAGCCCUGGUUCCCCCGACCUCUCCAGCCUCCUCGUCGCCGUCAAUCCGACAGUUCCUCCUGUAAGUCGCCGUGAAUGACCUAAGGCCUCCACAUAGCCUGCUCUUGGUCAAGUUUGUUUCUUAAUUUUUUGUUCAUCAAAAUUAAAGUUUUUUAUGUAAAUUGAAAUAGUCAGGGCUUUGUUAUAGUUUCUUGCCUGUUGAUUUCUUUAGCACAUGGAGUCAGGGAUUAGCUUUCUUGCUUUUGUUAUGAAUUUGCCAUGAAAUCUUGCUGAUACUUUCCUUUGAAAUUGCUGUGUGAUAUUUGCAGCUUAUUUAUGUUUGUCCUGUGGAGCUAUUUUUAUUUAAUAUUGGUGUUUUUAAUUCCAAACAGCGAAAAAUCGAUACUUUUACCUGAUUUACAUGAGAAUAGGAAUGGGUUUCUUAAAAAUCGGCUUCAAAGUGGAUUUCCAAGAAAUGGACUUCUUCUCCUUGUUUUCCCCUCCCCUUUUUGCUUUUCUGCUCCUUCCAUUGCGAUUCACACGACUCCCUCAGAGAGGCAGUCAAUGUCACACAGGGCCUUCGUUUUGUUACACCACAAAUCCACCAUAACUGAUCCCAAUAAUUGACUAGUUAUUGACACCAUCUUUUCCGACAAAUUUCCAACAUACACAUUUUGGAAAAGCUGGGAUCUUUCAUUGGACAGCAGUUUAUGCUAAAUUCAUGGUCAAGGUACUAUAUGCCCCUUGAAGAUUGUAGGCACCAUAUUCAUACAUCGGUUGGCCAUGAAUUGGGACUAAAGAGGUUUUAUAGGUGGAAAGGUUUCAGUUUGGACGCCAAAGUUGUAUUGUGACCUGAUUGUGUUGUUUACUGUUCUUGGAGGUAGUAUUGACUACUCAACAUGCUUGAUUAAGGAGAGUAUAUAGUCACGUUAUCAAAACUAGGGAAAAUUGUGCUAAAAGCCUUCAAUAUUUAAAACUACCUUUCUUCUCAGUGCAGACCUUAUUCUUGGAAAAUAGUAUUCUUAAAGAUUAGUUUUUUUUCUUUUUUUGGUUGGUCUUAAAUGCUCUUGUUUAGUCUUUGUGAUUGCUUGCUUCAAAAAGGACUUAAAGGCUCUUUUUUUUUAUUUGAUGCAUGCUUUUUAUGCAAGGUUGAAGAUUCCUGAGGUACCUUUUUGUGUUGCAACAUUUUUUGUAGCUUGAUGAUUACUGUUAGUUUCUGCAUUGAAGAUACGGUUGUGCAAGUGAAUCAAGACAAUCAGUCAAAUGGCCUUAACCAACUUCAUACUCACGGUGGCCGUAUCAGUGCUAUGAUUCUGCUGCUUAGGAGUGACGUCAAGCAAUCUGCCACCAUCUUCAGACACAACGUCCGACAGAUACGCCAUUGGCUUGAGGAAGAGUCUGCUUCUGCUGCAAAGUAUUUAUCCCUGAUAUUCUCUUGUACUCAUUGGCCCUUUGUUUUAAUACCCAACUCAACAAAGAGAUUAAAUCAAAAAAUUUUACUUCUCUCAUUUGAAAUAUCAAUUUUUUUAUCCAUUUCUGACGCAAAUGCUGUUGCUAUUUAGCUUUUUUAGACCACAUGCUUCCUAAUUGAAAGUCUGGAUAACUAGUCACUCUUUUCCCUUCUGUGGAUUAGGUUUUGUCAUAAUAUGAGGAAAAUAGUUAUUUGGUUUUACUCUUUUGACGUUUCCACAUUUUAACAGCUUAAACUUGGUUGUGGAAGAAGUUUAAUUCAGCAGUUGAAGUGUUUGUUUCUUGAACUAAGACAACAAAUAUUUCAUCCGAGUUGCAUGUUCAAUUAUGUUCGAGUAAAAAGGCACGAAAAGUUCCAAAAAACUUUGCUGAAAUGUCAUUCUCGAUGAUUGAUUUGUUGUGUAGACCAAGUCGAACCUAAUUUGGUCGCUAGUGGUAGCUAAAUUAUGAUGAUUUAUUCUUGUUGGGCAGAUUUCUUUUGCUGGGGCUGUAUAGUUUUUGGGCAUUAAGUUUUGCUUGUAGUUAGGCAUUUCAGAUUAGCAUGUGACUGCCUGAUCCUUCCAUGGAAGGAAUAAAAGUUUUUUCUCAUUAGCAUUUCUUUUAAACCGAGAAACUAUUCUAUUGUUCUUGCAUUACACUUGGAGACCUGAAGAACACAGUUAAAGCACUUGCUUACUUAUACAUGUAAAAAAGAACAAAAUGGUGAUCGAAGGUUGGCCCAAAUAUUUUGGAUGAGAUAGGAACUCCAUGUGAGCAGGGGAACACUUGGCUGUGUCGCCCAAAUAAUUCUUACUUAGUAUGUAUUUAGUGGGAAGAGCAACUGAAUUUGAACUGAUGGUGAUAUCUAACGCAGCUGCAUAUGUUCUUGUUUGCUACAUUGAUAUCUUUGGUUUUCUUAAAUUUACUUUUUGAAGGAGCCUGUUAUCUCAUUUUAACAUUAAGCAACCGUAUAAUGGCAUGCUUGGUUCCAUUUAGGGAGAUGGAGAGGGCAAAGCCAAAGGAGAUGCCUGGAAAGGAUGCACCCAAGGAGGAAAAGCACUCUCGUAAGGUUUAAAAUUCUCAGAUCAACCGUAAAAAUUUUGGUCUAAUAUAUACAGCAUGGAUUUCUAAGAAAGCAUCAUAUUGUUGUAACACCGACCUGAUAAGAGUGCAUGUGUGACAAAAAUUUGGUAGUCUACUUGAAAAAGCUUUUCAGACACUUCUGUUUUUUUUUCCCAGUAACGAUAAUAAUUGUAUAACACAUUCUAUCCUAAUCUACAGGGGAAGGGGAGCCAAAGAAGCCUUGUGUCCAAAGAAAGCCUUGUGUGUUAGGGACUAGUAGGUAUGUAAACCUAACUCCACCAAGGGGGUACUAUGACACCACCCUUGGAUUUUUUUUUUCUGCGGGUAGAGUUUGAACCCCCACCUGUUCAAACACUUCUGUUCAAUUGGUGCUGGAGGAGAGUACACGAACAAAUUCUGAUCUUCAAACUAACUACCUUGAAUUUGACAACUACUAAAAAGUUCAGUAAGGUUGAGGUACAUAGGACGCUCUCUUUAAGACAAUACACGCUCCUAUGGUAUUUUUUAAACCGAUGCAAAAGGUCUAACGCAUCGCUUCCAGGAUAUAACAACCAACUCUAUAGUUGUUGCUAUUCUUUGAUCUGCACAACCAAGAGAAGCAGAAGCUUCCCUAUAUCUUUCUUUGCCCAAAGAAAAUAGAACGAGGGAGAAAGAAAUGAGUGUGAGAAGAAUAAUAUUUAGAAUUAUCUUUUGUUGAGAAAAGUGUGUAUGAAAUUCUCCAAAGAACUUCACUAUUUAUAGGCUACAAAACCUUUAGAAAACGGUUGAAAGUCCAAUGUAUAACGGUUUUUUCAUAUUAAAUUGUAGCUAAUUGGUAGAAUUUGUAACCUAAAAAUUAAUUCAUAUUUGAAUGGCUUAUAAAGACUCAAUUUGACCAAAUAAUUCAUUGAUAGCUCUUAUUCAAAUAAUUGUACAAUAACUCCAUUCAAAAUGCAUUGUAACUCCCAAAAUUAAAAUUCCCAUUACUUCCAAAUAAAUUCUAUUAUAACUCCUUGUAAAGAUUUAGUCAAGAAAUAAUUAAGAUUUUAUUAAAAUACACCAACAUUCCCCCACUUGUUUUAAUAAAAUCUGAAAGAUAUAAAAAAGGAAAUUUGGACAAAGUGAGAACAUCAUGCAUAGUGAAAGUGGCAUUGUGUUGAAACCUUCAUUUAGCGUUUCCAUAAUCCUUAUAUUAGAGUCAAAGUGGACUAAAGUUUUGAAACUAAGACUACUUUUAGAUAUGUAAGGUUAUGUUACACACAUGAUAUUCAAGAUAUUAAUUAAUAAGCUUCUUAAACCAGCACAUUACGGCCUUGUGCUUUAUCCCAGAUUCACGAGUGUUUUAGAGAAUUAGCCAAAUUUUCAUAGGAAGCACCCUUUACUUCCACACUCAUAUAGGUGAGUCUAUCAAGAAUACCCCUAUGACUAAGGUAUCCCACCCAUAAAGGGCUAUAGAACUCAUUAAAAGAUUUAUAUCAAAUCUUGACAUUUUCUUCGUUAUAGAAUCACGAGCAUGCUUUACACCAUGGGAAGGGAUUUAAUAAUUUUUUUAUAAUAUAUGCAUGUUUUUCACCCAAACCAAUCUAUGAUUCGUUUGUCCCUGACUUAGUUCUUGUGAUCUCCAGUCCGUAGGUUGUUGUAUCUUCAUAGAUUAUUCCAAUUUAAAAUUUCUUUAGGCUCAAGUCUCAUUCCUUUUGAUGUUUGAAAAAUUUGUUCUCUGGCUAAAGCUUUCGUUAAUGGAUUAGUGAGAUUUUCUUUUGAUCUCACAUGGUUUAUAUUUAUAGCACCAUCACAUAAAUAUGAUCUCACAGUAUUGUGUUUUCUUCUAACAGCUCUGGACUUUUCAUUAUAAUAUUUGUACUCUACCAAUUGCAGCAGUAUUAUCACAAUGUAAAAGUAUAGGUGGUACAGGUUUAUUCCAAACGGGAAUUUCAGAUAAUAAAUCCCUUAACCAACUGGCCUCUUCACUGGCAGAAGGUAAAGCUAUAAGCUCCAUAGUAGAUUUAGCAAUAAUGUGUUGUUUUUUAGAUCUCCAACACACAGCUACACCACCCAAAAUAAAAAUAUAGUCAGUGGUAGAUAAUGAGUCACCAGAUUGAGAAUUCUAAUCUACAUUACUAAACCCUUCUAAAACAGCAGGGUAAUUUUUAUAAAAUAAACCAUUAUUUAUAGUACCUUUACGGUAUUUCAUAACACUAGUAAUAGCAUUCCAAUGAUCAUAACUAGGCUUACUAGUAAAUCUACUCAAAAUAUUUACAGCAUAAGCAAUAUCUGGUCGAGUACAAUCAAUGGCAUAUCUCAAACUUUCAAUUAUGCUUGCAUAUUCAUGUUGAUUUAACACAAAUGCAUCAUUCUUAGUUGGAUAUAAAUGCACACUAGAAUCAAAAGGAGAGGAAACUGGUUUACAAUCAUAAUACUUAUAUUUUAAGUAUUUUUUCAAUAUAAUGUGCUUGAUUUAACAUAAUUCCUCUAGGGGUUCUAGUAAUUUUCAUACCAAGUAUUACAUUAGUUUCACCUAAAUCUUUCAUAUCAAAAUUAUUUUAAUAACCCCUUGGUAUUUUCCAUAAUAUUCAAUUCAGUCCCAAAAAUUAAAAGAUCAUCAACAUACAAGCAUAGGAUAACAUGAGUAUCUGCAAUAGAUUUAUAGUAAAUACAUUUGUCACUUUCAUUUAUUUUAAAAUUAUUUGAUAUCAUGCUCCUGUCAAAUUUUUCAUGCCACUGCUUAGGAGCUUGUUUCAAACCACAUAAAGAUUUUGUUAACUUACAAACUUUAAUUUCAUGACCAAGCUGUACAAAACCUUAUGGUUGAUCCAUAUAUAUUUCUUCUUUUAAAUCUCCAUUCAAAAAAGUUGUUUUUACAUCCAUUUGAUGAAUUUUAAGAUCAUGACUGGCAGCAAUAGCUAUAAGCAAUCUUAUUGAUGUAACUCUUAUUACUGGUGAAUAAGUAUAAAAAAGGUUUAUGUUUUCUUUUGCUUAAAGCCUUUAGCUACAAGUCUUGCUUUAUAUUUAUCUAUUGUACCAUUUGGUUUUAAUUUUCUUCUAAGUACCCAUUUGUAUCCAAUAGUUUUACAACCAGUAGGUAAAUCAACUAACUUUCAAGUUUUGUUUGACAAUAAAAAUUCCAUCUAUUCAUUUAUAGCUUCUUUUCAAAAAACAAAAUCAGGUGAGUUUAAGGCUUCUUCUAUAGUUUUUGGAUCACCAUUUACAUUGUAAACUAAAUAAUCUGGUCCAAAGUUUUUUUUCUACUCCGGCUCUUUUGCUUCUUCUCAAAUUUUCAUUAGUUCCAAAAUUUUUUAAAUGUGGAGAGCUAGUUUCACUUUCAUUUAUUAUUUUUUCCUCUUCACCCUCACUAUUUCUUAAUUUCAAUGGAAAUUUAUCUUCAUGAAAAAUUGCAUCAAGUGAUUCUAUUAUAAUGUUACUUUCUAUGUCAUAAAAUCUAAAAGCUUUACUGGUUAAAGCAUAUCCAACAAAUGCACACUUUUUAGCUCUAACUCCUAAAUUAGGAAUUUUUGGAUUGGUUAAUCUAACAUAUGUCAAAUGUAGACACCAAAUUUUUGUCAAUUUUUAACAUUUUCUUGAAUUUUUUUAUUUAUUUAAUGAGUUAUUUAUUUUCUUGUAUUUUAAUGUGUAUUUUUUUUCAUUUUGCAGGUUUGUUUUAGGAAAGAAACAAAAAGAAAAAGAAGAAAAAGAGAAGAUAAAAUCUCUCCCUAAUUAUUUCUUUUUGACCAAAUACACUAUUGAUUCAUUUUUACACUCAAUAUCUCCCUACAUCUUUCUUUUCAUUUGGUGAGGAACCCAUCAUUUGAUUAACAGAAAUUCCACUCAUUUGCUUGGACUCUCUCGACUCAUUGGCAAACGGCCAACACAUAAACACAGUAAACAAACAACUCCCAAGCUUCCCGCUGAAUUUUUAACAACAACAUAAACUUACCAACUCUGCUCUGUCUCUCGGCUUUUCCUUUUUUUUUCCCUCAACAGACGAACACGCACAAAAAGAAGGAAAUCUCCCUCACCCUCUCUCGGCUCUAUCACUCCCUUUUUUUCAAUUCACACAACACACCCACACACAACUCAAACACAACAAAGCAAGCAACAAAGGAGUGAAGCUUGGGAGUUCCUUCAAAAAUUUGACUGAGAAGCUCUUGCUUGGAUUGAGGUAUUCCCCAUUUUUUUGUUUAGUUUCCUUGCUUUUGCUGUCUUUUAUUGUUGUUGUUGUAUUGCUGAAAAUUUGGGAAAUGGCAUGAACCAAUGAUGGAGCCAAGGAGGGGCAGAGGGGGGCCAUGACCCCCCCUAAGUUUUGAGAAUUUUAAUUCAUAAUAUGUAAAUAUGUGUGUAAAAUAAAAUUGGCCCCCCCUAAAUUUUUUCAAUUUUAAUUUAUAUUAUGAGAGUUGAUAUAUAUAUAUAUAUAUAUAUAUAUAUAUAUAUAUAUAUAUAUAUAUAUAUAUAUAGUCAUCUUUGAAUGGAAUGGCUUGCAAGCUUUAAUUUGCCAUGAAUAUCCAUAUGCCUAUUACAUUCAUUGUUUGGCUCAUAGGCUUCAACUUGAUUUAGUAGCAGUUUCUAGAGAAGUAGCUUCUGUUCACCAAUUCUUCUCCAAUUUAGUUUUCAUUAUCAACAUUGUUACUGCAUCUAACAAACGUAAUGAUGAAUUAAAGGAGGCUCAAGCAAUUGAAGUUGCUACUAAGAUUGCUAAUGGUGAACUUGAAAUUGGAAUGGAGCUUAAUCAAAUUGGCACUUUAAAACGAGCUGGAGAUACUCGUUGGGGUUCUCAUUUGGAUUCUAUUUCUAGUUUACUGAAAAUGUUCAAUGCUACUUGUGUGGGUUUAAGUAACAUUGCAGUAGAUGGAGGUUCAUACUCUUAACGUGGAGAUGCAAAUUUUGCUUUGAAUAAGUUGUUAUCCUUUAAACUUGUUUUCACUUUGCAUCUUAUGAAAGACAUUAUGGAAAUUACUCAUCUUCUUUGUAUAGCAUUACAACAUAAAUCUCAAGAUAUUUUGAAUGCACUGCAUCUUGUCUCAAGCACAACAAAGCUACUGAAGAAUUUUCGAGAUUUGGGAUGGGAUGAUUUCUCUGUGAAUGUUAAAUUAUUUUGUGAGCAACAUCAAAUUGAUAUCCCAUGCAUGAAUGCUCAAUAUAUUGCAAGACGUGGUAGAUCUCGAAGUCAUCAUGAUGAGAUUAGUGUGGAGCAUUAUUAUCGAGUGGAUAUAUUUCUUACAACAAUUGAUUAUCAAUUGCAAGAGUUACAUAGCAGGUUUAAUGAUCAUACCGUGGAAUUGCUUAUUUUGAGCACUGCUUUAAAUCCUAGAAAUGGAUUUAUGCUGUUCAAAAUUGAUGAUAUUUGUAAACUUGCAGAGAAGUUCUAUCCAAAUGAUUUUAUGGAGCAAGAACUAGAACGUCUAAGAAUAGAACUUCAACAUUUUGAGUUCGACAUUCCAAAUCAUCCUGAAUUGCAAGAAUUAUCUGGUAUUAAUGAGUUUAUGUCAAGGCUUGGUGAAGACAAGAAAAUCAGUGAUAUAUCCUGUUAUUGAUAGAUUGAUUAGACUUGUUCUUACUCUUCCUGUAUCAACUGCAACUUCAGAGCGGGCAUUUUCAAUUAUAAAAAUAAUCAAGACAAAGCUCCAAAACAAGAUGGAAGAUAAUUUCUUGAAUGAUUGUCUAACUGUGUAUAUAGAAAAGGAAGUUGCUGAAAAUUUUACCAGUGAUUCAAUCAUAGAUGAAUUUAGUUCUAUGAAAGAACGUAGAGCUCAAUUUACUUCUAAGAAAAGAUGUUGAAAUUUCAAAGUAUACUAACAUAACUUUUAUCUUUUUUUAAUUAAAAAUAGUUACAUUUAUAUUACAAGGUUAUAUAUAUAUAUAUAUAUAUAUAUAUAUAUAUAUAUAUAUAUAUAUAUAUAGCAUAGGUGACAUAUUGGAGAGCAUCUUCUCAUAAUAUGUAAAUUGGAUGGUUUGUGAUGUUAUAAGAUAUUUAAUCAAAGGUUAUCUUUUUUGUUAAUUUUUGUUAUGACUGUACCGUAUAUUUAUGAAUAGACAUACCUUUAUAAUUAAAUUUAAUAUUUGAUAUUUUUAGAUGUCAUAUAUUUAAAUAAAAGGAAAUUAUUUUGAACACAAUAUAUUAAGAUAAUUUUAUUAGGAAAAAAUUUUGGCCCCCAAAAAAAAAAAAUCCUGGCUCCGUCACUGGCAUGAACUAGAUUGAGGAGAAAAGAAAUAGCUUUUGUGUAUGCAUGCUACAUGUUUGAUAAAAUGCCAAAAUGGAAAAACGAAUUAAAAAGCUGAAUAUUGUGCAUUUUUUUUUGUCAAAAUGGAUGACCACUAGCUAGUAUAGGUCAGAAAAUGUUUGGUUAUCCAAAGUUAUUGGAGUUUUUGAGCCUUAAAAGCAUUGAAGGAUUUUUUUUAUUUUUUGGACUGUAUUGUUUUAAUUUUGUUACAUUGUUGUUGCUUUUCAUUGAUUUCAGAUCAUAGUUAUGUUGUAAAAUUCAUAAGGAGUGUAUUGGUAUAAGUUUUAUGAUUUUAGUGAUGAUUAUAGUGACUUUGAAAAAAUAAAAACUAGACUAUUUUUUGGCUAUUUCAUCACUUUCGGUUCAUUUUUUUGUAAAAACUAGACCCAAAAACGGAUUCUACGCGAAAAAUCGAGUGGGGGUGUAUUUUGGUAAUUUUUUCCAACCGGAGAAUUUGUUGGCGGCCGGUGGCAGUCCGACAGUGGCGCUGCCGGUGGCUACUAUGGCCGGCAGCUGCUGAAGCUUUAGCCCGCCAGAGUGGAAGAAGAAGAAAAUGGGAGAAGGAAGAAAGAAAAGAAAGAAAAGAAAAUGAAUGGGCUAAUGUUCUAUUUUUUGAUGUGCCAAUUUCUUUAUUUUCAGGUGGGCUAGAGGUUUGUUUUUCUGGAUUUUCAUCUGGGCUUGUGUUUAUUUUUUAUGAAGACGGUCCAAGCAAACAAAAAUAAAUGGCCCAAAGCCCUUUCUUACAAAAGUAGAAAAAUGAAUUUGCACUUUAGCCCCUAAUCUUUGGAGUAAUUUUAUUGUGACUCAGAAAAUGUUAAUUUUCUUUCACUUAGGUCCUUAAAUUAAUUGCAUUUUGUUCCCAAAAUUUUUUAUUUUUAUUUAAUUUUGACCCUUAAACUUUAGAAAAUAUAUUUUUGACCCCAAACAUUUUUCAAUUUUUAUAAUUUAGUCCCUAGUGAAUUUGACUCUCUCUAUUAUAAUUGUUUCUUUUCUUUAAUAGUUAAUUAUAUUACUUUUGAAUAUAUUUAACUUGUGAUUUUUAGAUAUUCUUAAAUUUCUUUAUGUUUGACAUAUUAAUGUGAAUUUAGUAUUUUUAUCAUUAUUAUUAUUUUCAAUUAAAUUGAUGCCAUGAUUCUUUUGUUCAUGUUGAGUAUAAAUAGGGCAAUUUGACUACUUCAAAAUGGAAGUGCUUCUAUUAUUAUUUCAAUGUCAAUUACGUGCUCUUAUGUGCUCAUACGUGCUCCUAUGUGUUUGUAUAUUUUUAUAUGUUUCGUUAUUUAUUUGAUUCAAAUGUUCAUUCAAAUUUUUUUAUAUUUGUUUAGUUAAUUUCUAUAAUUAUUUAGGAGGUAUUUAAAUACUUUGAAAUGUAAUAUAUAGGAUAAAUAGGUUUAUUUUAUCAUAUUUUCCCUGCUUUAGGUUGUAAUUAGGUCCCCUAUUAUAAUAGAUAGAAUAUGUAAGUUUAUUUUCUUAUAUUUCCCAUUUUAGAUUGUAGUUAGAUUCCCCGUUAUAAUAGGUAGGCUUUGCGUGUUUAUCUGGUUUAUGUGUUUUAUGCUUUAUCUGCUUUCCUUAGGAUUUUGUUGCAUCUAGAUAUUAUGUUUACACAUUACGUGCUACGUGCUCUUAUGUGUUUAUUUGUUUUAAUUUAUGCUUUAUUUAUUUUACUAUGUAUUAUUAAUGCAUGGCGUCACCACACUAGUCCAAUGCUAGUUGUGGUUUGUCCCUCUAUCUAUUUGCUAGUCCAACGCUAGUAAGCUUCUUUAAAAAUGGGUUAGUCCAACGCUAGAUCCGUAGAUUGUUCAUGCAUUAGAUUCAUUUUAUGCAUUAGAUUCAUUUUUUGUAUGAUAUUCAUUACAUUUUUAUGCAUUUUUUAUUUAUUUAGAAUUUUUUCUCAUUUGCAUGAUAUUUUCUAUUAUAUUAUCUCCUACCUUCUAUAUAUGUCAAUCAUAUCAUUUAGAAUUGCAUCUCAUUUAAGAAAUUAUAAAAUCAGUUAGUUCAUUUGCUUGUCUAAAUUAGGAGAAUUACUCUUUAAACAUGGGAAAUGAGUGAUUAUAACUUUUUAGUUUAAAUACUACUAAUCCAUGUAUAAGAAAAUUAUAUCACAAGUUUUUGUCUCCCGUACCCAUUAUGCUGCAUUCAUUUUCCUUUGAUCACUUAUACCUAUGUAUAUAAUUUAAUUUUCUUUUCUUUUCUUUUCUUUUAAUUUCAUCUUUUUUUUUUUUUGCUAAACCCUGGGAUAGGGAGGGAUGCCACCCCCUUGUAUUAUUAAAAACCACAAAACACCAGUACAGCACCAAUCAUUUGUGCACGGCCCCAAUGCGUAUUAGAGGAGUUCUUCUUUUAAUUUCAUCAUUUGCAUACUCAUGACCCUUUCAAGAAAUUAUUUUGUCCUUCGCAAUUAAUACGAUUGGUAUCAAUUAAAACCUUGAAUGGAAUUUUGUCCCUUUCGAUACUUUCUAUAAAUUUAGAUUUGCAUCUAUAUAGGAAACAUUCAAACGUGAUAAAUUUAAGGGUUAGAUUAAGAAAAUUUUGACUAAAUCUCGCAACUAACUUAGACUAAGUUGAAAGGGAGCCUUAGAUUCAAGUCAAUCGAGCUUCUGCUUUCCCUUUUUUCAACUGUGACUCCCGAACUCAUUUUCUCUUGUUCUUCAAAGACUUGGAGUUGUCAAAAAGGAUUUUCUUUUAUUUUAUUUUUGUCAAAACAUUUUUGGAUGAUUUAAUACACCCAAAAUCAAUACCAAGUGACGACUCCUAUUUUUCUUAAAAACUCUUUUUGAUAAAAUUUUGGACCCAAAUUGUCGCAUUCUUUGAAGUCUCAUUCUAGGUCAUUUUCACUUAUUUUUAAAUAAAAUCAUAUUUUUUAAAUACGAUUUUAAAUACGUUAUUUUAUUUGUGAAAAAUGGGGCGCGACACCAAACAACCCCACACACAAAGAUAGUUUAAAUUUGAUUUUCUUUUAUUCCAUAACUCAUAAGGUGUUAAAAGAGUUUGUCUUCUAGGCAUUCUAUUCAUUAUGUAAUUAGUUGUCAAAAUUGCUGCUCCCCAAAAAUUCUUUGAUGCAUUUGCAUUCACCAUUAUUGCAUUUGUUAAAUUUAUUAAAGUUCUAUUUUUACGUUCUGUUACACAAUUAGAUGCAGGUGAAUAAGGCAGAGUAGUUUCAUGAACAAUUCCUAAAGAUUUCAUGUAAUCAAUUAAUCCCAAAAUUUCAUAUUCUUUUCCUCUAUCACUUCUGAACUUUUUAAUUUUUUUGUCAAAACGGUUUCAAUUUCUUGUACAUAUGCUACAAGUUUUUCAUGUGUUUCACUUUUAUGUUUCAUAAGAUAUACAUAAGUGUAUCUAGAAAAAUCAUCUAUAAAAGUUAUAAAAUAUCUUUUACCACCACGUGUAAGAAUGCGGUCAAAUUCACAAAUAUCAGUAUGUAUUAAUUCAAGUAAAUCACUACUCCUUUCUACUUUUACAUGCGGUUGUUUUGUGAUUUUUGUCAAGCUACAAUAUUCACGUUUUUCAAAAUCAUUUUGAAGUUUAGGUAACAAUCCAAUAUAACUCAUAUUCUUUAAGUAUUUAGAAUUAAUAUGACAAAGUCGAGCAUGCCAUAAAUUAGUACUAAAAGCAAUAUAAACAAAACUAAGAGAUACUUUAUUCAUUUCAACAUUCAAUUUGUACAUACCAUCAUAUGCAUAAUGUUUCCCAACACAUGCAUUAUUUUUUUGUAAUCACAUAUUGAUUAGAAUCUAUAAUUUGCUUGAAACCGGUUUUGUCAAGAAGAUAGCUUGAAACCAAGUUCUUUCUGAUUUGAGGAGUAUGAAGAAUAUCUUUCAAAGUUAAAGUAUAGCCAGAGGUGAAUUUUAGAUCCACAUCACCAGCACCCACCACCUUAGCGGUAUGUGAGUCACCAAGUAGGACCAUUUUACCUUCUUCAGCAUGAGUGUAGCUUUUGAACCAAUUUUUAUCAUGGCAAAUGUGCUUAGAAGCACCCAUAUCUACCCACCACCCUUUAUGAUUCUCUAGCAUGUUCACCUCAGUUAUCAUAGCCACUAAAGGCUCUUCAACUACAUGAGUUUGAGGUUUAUCACCAUGCUUUUUAGGUUGUCCACGUUUCCUAAAAUAACAAUCCUUGGCUUGGUGACCAAGUUUUUCACAUACAAAAUAUGGACCCUUAAAAGCUUUAUUAUUAUUAGAAGUGGUUUCUUGGUUCUUUCUGGGUCCUUUAUAUUGAUAUUGUGGUCUAUUCUUAUUUUUCAUAUUUUUCCCUCUAGGCCUCAAGUAUGCAUUAUUUUUAGAAUUCUGACAUCUAGAGACAUUAUCAGUUGAAGUAAUAAAAUGUACCUUAUUAGUGUCACCAUUGCCAUUGGUCUCCUCAAACUUAUCUUGCUUCCUUGCCUCCUCUUCGAUUCUAAGUCGAGCCAUAAGAUUGACUAGAGUGAUCUCCAACUGCUUGUGGUGUAGUCCCUUUUGAAUAUCCUUCCAAGAAUUUGGUAAUUUGUCAAUUAUAGCAGCCACUUGCAUUUGUUCAUCCACCUUGAUGCCUUUAGAUUGAAUUUCAUGAACUAUCUUUUGUAGUUCAUGUAUUUGAGCAAGGACAGAUUUGUUUUCUGCCAUUUGAUGCUUGAAGUAGCGGCUACAAGCGUAUAUCUUGGCUCCAGCUUCUUCAGUAUCAUGUUUCUUUUGUAAAGCCUUCCAAAUCUCAGCCUUGCAUUUUCUGUGUGUAGCCAUUUCCAACCAUUAAACAUUAUUUUUCUAUUAUUUAAAAGUCAUUGAAACAGUUGGAGCUUAGCACAUUUAACACAAAAAAUAUUAGCAUAAUUAUUUUUUUAGCAACAAAGAAAUAAAUAAAUGGUGCAUAAAAAUACUAAUAGUUAAUGUAUCCGAAGAGUUUUAAAUAAGUGUCCAAUGAAUGAAGCUUCUAUUUUUUUUCAUUAAUAUAUAGGAAUUUGGAGCAAAAUGUAUCUUAGGUUUUUUUUAUUAAAUUGUGUCCAUUAAUACCAAGCAGCUUUCAAUGAAUAUAGAGAGAUUUGGAACAAAAUUUAUCCUAAAAAUUUUUGGUACACUAUGCUUAUUAAUACCUUUUAUUUUUUUUUUGUCAAGAAUGCAAACAAAAUUUGGAGCGGAUUUUUUGGUUAGGGUUGUAGACAAAAUUUGAAGCGAAAAUGAUAUUGAAGAGAAAUAAAAUAGAGGGAAAAAUGGAAAUAAUUGAAAAAAUCAAAGAUGAUAUAGAACAAAAAAGAUGUUAUCAUUGCCAUACUAUUGAAAUGAAGAAAUAGAUAAAUAAUGGAUAAAAAUGGUAGCAAUGAACGUGUCUAAAAAUCAUUGAAAAUGAAGGAAUUUUUUUAAUUAUUUCAUAAACGGAAAAAGAAAAAAAUUGAAAUGCAAAGAAAUCUAAAUAGAAAGCGAUUUGGAGUGGAAUUGGCAAUAAAAUAUUUCACUAAAUUUAAGCAGGAAAAGGAAAAAAUCUGAAAUGUAGAGAAAUAUGGAGUAAAUUAUAUAAAAUGAUUUUUUAAAUCAUGCACUCUAUAUGCAAUUGAAUGUCACAAUAUUUAAUUGUAAAUGAUUCAGUUUUUUUUGUGAGAAAUUGAGAGGAAUUUCGAGCAUAAUUAACACGAAAAUUGUUUAACUAAAUUGAAAGGAAAAAAAGGAAAAAAAUCAAAAUUUAGAGAAAUUUGGAGUAAUACCUAAGAGAUGAAAUUUUUUUAAUCAUGUCAUGUUUAUGCUAAAUUAGAGUUCACCAUAUCCAAUACAAAAGAUAUCAUUAUUAUUGUACUAUUAAAAUUAAGUAAUAAACAAAUCAUAUAUAGAAACAAUAAUAGUAGAUUUGUCUAGAAAGUAUUGAAUAAGCAUCCAAUCAAGAGAUCCUUUAUUUUUUUCUUUUAAUGUAAAUAGAAAAUGUGUGGAAUAAAAUUAUAAAUUUGGAACAAAAUUCAUGUUGGCAUUUUAUUGUGACAUUAUGAUUAUUCAUACACUAAAUUAGAUUUGAAUAAAGAAAGGAAGGAAAAAAGUGAGUGGUGUAAAAGGAAUGUCGAAGUGGGAUUUAUAUUGGCAUUGUUUUAUGACGCAUAGCCAUUCAAACACUAAACUAAAUUUGAACAUGGAAAGAAAGAGGGAAAUCAAAGAUGGAAACAAUUUGGAGCAAAUUUUAUCUUAGAAUUUUUUUACCAGACCAUGUCUAUAUUUAUGUUAGAAUCUUUUAUUAGACCAUGUUUAUAUUAAUAUAGAAUUGUCUCCAACCAUAUUUAUAUUACUAAGAUAUAAACUAAUGUAGAGAAAUAGAGAACAAACAAUAAAUUGAGCCUUUCGCUUUCUAUGGAAUAAACUGUUAUCAAGCAAGAUGAUUUUCAAGGAAGCAAGUAGGAAAAAAUAAAUUCAACCUUGCAUUUUCUAUGUGUAGCCGUUUCCAUCUGUUAAACAUUAUUUUUCUAUUAUUUAAAAGUCAUUGAAACAGUUGGAGCUCAGCACAUUUAACACAAAAAAUAUUAGCAAAAUUAUUUUUUUAGCAACAAAGAAAUAAAUAAAUGGUGCAUAAAAAUACUAAUAGUUAAUGUAUCCAAAGAGUAUUAAAUAAGUGUCCAAUGAAUGAAGCUUCUAUUUUUUUCAUUAAUAUAUAGGAAUUUGGAGCAAAAUGUAUCUUAGGUUUUUUUUUAUUAAAAUGUGUUCAUUAAUACCAAGCAGCUUUCAAUAAAUAUAGGGAGAUUUGGAAAAAAUUUUUGGUACACUAUGCUUAUUAAUACCCCUUUUUUUUUGGUCAAGAAUGCAAACAAAAUUGAGAGCGGAUUUUUUGGUUAGGGUUGUAGACGAAAUUUGAAGCGAAACUCAUACUAAAAUGUUAGUCUAAAUUUAUAAACAUCUCUCAAAGAGAAAAAGCAAGCAAAAUAAUUUUUUUCUUAGAAUCCAUUUCGGGCAAAAUUGAAAUAAACCAUAGCAAUGAAUUCUUGCAAAGCGUGUUAUAUAAGUGGUUACUGAAGGGAUCUUUAUUUUUCUUUUUGGUCAAGAAUGCAGAUAAAAUUCAGAGUAGAUUUUUUGGUUAGGAUUAUAGAUGAAAUAUGGAGCGAAUCUCAUACUAAAAUGUUAAUCUAAAUUUAUAAAUAUCUCUCAAAGAGAAACAAGCAAGCAAAAUCAUUUUUUUCUUAGAAUCCAUUCGGUUGCCUAUGAAGCUUCAUUUGUGUGGCUAGAAUUGGUGCAGAAGUCAACUUUUCAAUAGGGCACGUAUGCGCACGUUUUGUGCUCGAUUCCUCUCGCGUUCAUUUCACUAGUGCACUAAACCUCCAAUAUACUUAUAUUCAUACUAUUAUUAUUCACUCUUAAAGAUAUAAAAUGAAGGUCUAUAGUCUCCCAAUUAAUCGCGCGCGCAAAAAUGCGAAUUUUCAAUUUAAGCGUGAUAAAGCGAAACUUCUAAGAAAUUCUUAUAACGAUAGUACCACUAACUAUCAUCUGAGUAUUUAAACUUUAAAAUGAAGCUUCUUUAGGAAGCCAAAUUAAAUCAAAACACUCUCUCUCUUCCUCACAAAGUGGCCGGCCAUCAGCUGUAAAAAUAACUCGAGUUCUUCAUUUUUCAUCUCUAAAUCUUGCAUAAAUCAUCUUCAAUUCCUUCCAAAUUUCACACACACUUACCUUAAUACUUAGAGAUCAUUUUAAGCUACAAAAAGGGGGAACUUUCCACGGUUUUCUUGAGCUAAGAGAGGGCCGAAAUUCUGCCUUUGUUCACCAACACAAGUGACGAUCAACCCUCAAAUUCUUGGCCUAUGGAAGUUGAUUUACACUUAUGAGUUUAGAUAUUCAUGUGGGUGGCUUGUUAUUGUUGGAAAAUUUUGAAUGUGAGCUCUAUGAACUCCCACUCUUGGAUUGAUGGCUGAUGUGAAGCUUGAUGAUGGAUUUAAUGUUGGUUUAGUGCUCAAAUUUGUAGAUUAAUGGUACAUAACUAGUAUAGACUUCAAGGAGUGCAUGGAUGUAAAGUUUUCAAUUCUGCCCCUAUUAUGAUCGUGCCUCUUUUUGCGGAAUUUUGAGGUUUUAAUGGCUUGUAUAUGAUGUUUAUAUGUUGUAUAGAUUGUGUAUAAAGUUUCAUCGAAAAAUGUUGAGGUUUGGUUGGUCAAAUGGAUUAAUCUCGCAAAGCUAGUAAACUUGGAAAAAUUUCCCCGUAAUGCUCAGACAGUCUUCUUGUUUCGUCCAUAACUAUGUGUUCCGACAUAGAAAUCAAGUGCCGUCAGUGGCAUUUGAAACUAAAUAUUCCCAGCUUUCCAACGGUAUAAAAUGCAACCCCUAAUUCCACCCGAAUAUUCCGUACCAACCGUUUAAAGAUGACUGUUCUGUUUCUCUGUUUUCCUGGAAUGAAGUUCAGAAGCUGCAACUUGAGACUCGAAUUUGAGUUAGUUGUAUGCUGAAUUUCAAAACGAUUUCUUCUGUGAAAUUAUAGUUUUAUGAAUGUAUUUUCCAACGCCACCAACCAUGCUCAAUUCCGAGUUGAAUUGAGUGAUUUGUGAUCAAAAUACGAAACCUGUCUUGUUCUUGAAAACCCUAAAUUUUGGGCAAAAUUGAUGCUAGACUUGGUGUGGAUUUGCCAAUUGAAUUUCUUAGAGUUAAAACACUUACCAAAUUUACCAUGAAUGUUCCUUAGGCUUUGCCUACACAAAUGAACCAUGUUUGAAGGAUUUUCCUUGACCAAAUGUUUGGAAAUGGAAAACAAAAAGCUCAAGGCAGUUUUGCCUUAGGAUUUUUCGAAACUUUGGUUGUUUGGUUGACUACCUUCCCGAAGGUAUUUUUUCAUGAAAUCUGAUAGAGGGAUACCCUUUAUAUAGGAGUAUUAUAUUGUCGAAUUUGGUAUCAAUCCGAGUCCAUUUCGCUGUUCGACAUGUGGAAUGUGAGAUACGAUUUUUUAAAAUAUCGUAUCAAAACUGAAAUUUUCCGAAUUUCAAGGAAAUGGAGUUUUUUAAGUAUUCCUGAUUCCUUCGAUAGUACUUGAACGUUUAUGCUUGAUUUUCAAGAUAAAACAAAAAAAAAUUCGAUUGCUUUUGUACUUUAAGAAACUCCACUUGAAUCUCGAUUUACGAGUAAUUGAGGUUCAUUUUCAUGAAAUUUUUCUAGAUUAUACUAGUGCACAAUCUUCCUUGAUAAUUGGAAUGUGUAAAUGAUAAUUCACUAUUAUUUGCUUAGGCGCACACGAAGACCUUCAAGAGGAUCCCACAGUGGAAAUUUGAACCUCCAAGUGACACUUUUGCUAUUGACUCACAGUGAGUGUCAAGUGUUUGUAUUAUGUGAUAUGUGAGGAUUCACAAAAUUCAUUUAUUUUAAAAACCCUAUUUCGAGCUUAUUUAAUCAUGUAAUUGUCCAUUUAUUUCGAAUAUCAUUUUCUAACCCUAUUGAACUUAAUUACAUGGAAGUAUAGCUUCAAAAUAUUUUUAAAGUGACUCGUUUCAAAAAAUUAAUUUUUGAAAGCGCAUUUAGUUAAAUUAGUGAAAAAGUAUUUGGAAAUUUUAAUCGUUGGAGAGUACAAUAAGUUUCGAACAUUGGAGACUUGUACUAUGGACCUAAAUUCAACCGGAUAAAGUAAUUGCAAAUAGUGCGGAAGUUUUUAAACUUAACAACACAUAACCAUUAUUCAAUCCUUACAAUGGGUUUCCAAAAUACAUCUCAAAUACCAAAAUUUUUCGUAGCCACAAUACUUGGCAACUAACACUGGGGCUCUAAUACAAAAUAUCACAAAAGGGUUCUUCCAUGCCUCAACUCAUGUCCACUCCUGUUAAAGAAAACAAAUCUAUAGGGUGAGCAAAACGCUCGUGAGGUCAAGAACGCACAUGCAAGCACGUAGUUCAAGUAACACUUCCAAAUUAAUCAAUUUAAAACAAUAACCAUUCAAUAAAGAGCACUUCACUGAAAAGUAAACAGAAACAAUUCAAGGAUAUGGAAACUCUCAGGAGCUAUUUUUCACUUGCAUGAUCACGAAGCUCCACGCGUUGAAACUCCGUCAACCGGGUAGGUUUAAUCCGUAGAAUCAUCACUUCCACUUCCCCUUCUCAACCUUACAUAUCACACCGGGCCCGCAAUACAUUUAUGAAGCGAUACUUCAGCGAGUAUGCCAAGCAAGACCAUUCAAUAAGUCGAGCUUAUGAAAUCUCAUGGUUCACUUUGGAGCUCGACCAAGCCCAUGCUAGCUCAAGUCCAAGGUUAGCCAAUAAGAGAGUUUGGGCGUCCUCCACUUUUACACUUUUGUAUCGAGGAGGUUUACUCCAACGAUUUAUGCAAUCACAGCAUAAUUAAUCAUUUAAACACUUCACAUAUAUUCACUUAACAAGUCACUUAGACAAGUAAGCACUUCACUUCACGAACUCAAGUUCACUUUGUUUAAAUGAGGACGAGUGCGAUAAAGUACACACUCAACUCAAAGGUUUCAAAAUUUCAAUUUAUAUAACACUUAUCACUUUGCAGAUAUAUCACAUAAUAAAUACAGUUGACACUCACUGUGAGUCAAUAGCAAAAGUGUCACUUGGAGGUUCAAGCUUCCACCAUGGCAUCCUCUUGAAGGUCCUCGUGUGCACCUGAGCAAAUAAUAGUGAAUUAUCAUUCACACAUCCCAAUUAUAAAGGAAGAUUGUGCACUAGUACAAUUUAGGAAAAUUUCAUGAAAAUGAACUUCAAUUACUCGUAAAUCGAGAUUCAAGUGGAGUUUCUUAAAGUACAAGAGCAAUCGAGUUUUUUUUUAUCUUGAAAAUCAAGCAUAAAUGUUCAAGUACUAUCGAAGGAAUAAGGAAUACUUGAAUAAUUCUAUUUCCUUGAAAGUCGAAAAAAUUUCAGUUCUGAUACGAUAUUUUGAAAAAUCAUAUCUCACAUUCCACAUGUCGAACAGCGAAAUGGACUCGGAUUGGUACCAAAUUCGACAAUAUAAUACUCCUAUAUAAAGGGUAUCCCUCUAUCAAAUUUCAUGGAAAAAUACUUUCGAGAAGGUAGUCAACCAAAGUUUCGAAAAAUCAUAAGGCAAAACUGCCUUGAGCUUUUUGUUUUCCAUUUUUAAACAUUUGGCCAAGGAAAAUCUUUCAAACAUGGUUCAUUUGUGUAGGCAAAGCCUAAGGAACAUUCAUAGUACAUUUGGUAAGUGUUUUAACUCCAAGAAAUUCAAUUGACAAGUCCACACCAAGUCUAGCAUCAAUUCUACCCAAAAUUUAGGGUUUUCAAGAACAGAGUAGGUUUCGUAUUUUGAUCACAAAUCACUCAAUUCAACUCGGAAUUGAGCAUGGUUGGUGGUGUUGGAAAAUACAUUCAUAGAACUAUAAUUUCACAGAAGAAAUCGUUGUGAAAUUCAGCACACAACUACCUCAAAUUCGAGCCUCAAGUUGCAGCUUCUGAACUUCGUUCCAAGAAAACAGAGAAACAAGACAGUCAUCUUUAAACGGUUGGUACGGAAUACUCUGGUGGAAUUAGGGGUUGUAGUUUAUACCGUUGGAAAGUUGGGAAUGUCUAAUUUCAAAUGCCACUGACGUCACUUGAUUUCGACGUCGGAGCACAGAGUUAUGGAUGAAACAAGAAGGCUGCUAAGCAUUACGGGAAAAUUUUUCCAGGUUUGCUAGCUUUGCUAGAUUAAUCCAUUUGACCAACCAAAUCUCAAUAUAUUUCGAUGAAACAUUUUACACCAUCUAUACAACAUAUAAAUAUCAUAUACAAGCCAUUAAAAUUUCACAAAAAGAGGCACGAUCAUAACAGGGGCAGAAUUGAAAACUUUACAUCCAUGCACUCCUUGAAGUCUAUACUAGUUAUGUACUAUUAAUCUACCAAUUUGAGCACUAAACCAACAUUAAAUCCAUCAUCAAGCAUCACAUCAGCCAUCAAUCCAAGAGUGGGAGUUCAUAGAGCCCACAUUCAAAAUUUUCCAACAAUAACAAGCCAUCCACAUGAAUAUCUAAGCUCAUAAGUGUAAAUCAACUUCCAUAGGCCAAGAAUUUGAGAGUUGAUCGUCACUUACUUGUGUUGGUGAACAAGGGUAGAAUUUCGGCCCUCUCUUAGCUCAAGAAAACUGUGGAAAACUCCCCCUUUUUGUAGCUUAAGAUGAUCUCCAAGUAUUAAGCUAAGUGUGUGUGAAAUUUGGAAGGAAUUAGAGAUGAUUUGUGCAAGAUUUAGAGAUGAAAAAUGAAGAACUCCUUGGGUUAUUUUUGCAGCUGAUGGCCGGCCACUUUGUGAGGAAUAAAGAGAGUGUUUUGAUCUAAUUUGGCUUCCUAAGGAAGCUUCAUUUGUGUGGCUAGAAUUGGUGCAAAAGUCAACUUUUCAAUAGUGCGCGUACGCGCGCGUUUUAUGCUCGAUUCCUCUCGCGUUCAUUUCACUAGUGCACUAAACCUCCAAUAUACUUAUAUUCAUACUAUUAUUAUCGACUCUUAAAGAUAUAAAAUGAAGGUCUAUAGUCUCCCAAUUAAUCGCGCGUGCAAAAAUGUGAAUUUUCAAUUUAAGCGCGAUAAAGCGAAACUUCCAAAAAAUUCUUAUAACGAUAGUACCACUAACUAUCAUCUGAAUACUUAAACUUUAAAAUACCUAAUUUAGAUCCAUAGUACAAGUCUCCAAUGUUUGAAACUUAUUGUACUCUUCAACGGUUAAAAUUUUCAAAUACUUUUUCACUAAUUUCACUAAACGCGCUUUCGGAAAUUAAUUUUUUGAAACGAGUCACUUUAAAAAUAUUUUGAAGCUAUACUUCCAUGUAAUUAAGUUCAAUAGGGCUAGAAAAUGAUAUUCGGAAUAAAUGGACAAUUACAUGAUUAAAUAAGCUCGAAAUAGGGUUUUUAAAAUAAAUAAAUUUUGUGAAUCCUCACAUCCUCUUGUUUGGGGUUGGUAAGAAAAAUGUGAAAUGGUUAUAUUAUGUUGAUGAUGCUAAGGUUUAUAGAAUUUGUGUGAUACGAAAGCGUAAGUAUGUGUAUGAAAAGUUUAGGUAUGGAUGACAUUUAUGAUUAGGUCGUAUUAAUAUUGUGAUCAUCAAUUAAUGUAUGUUGGUAACAAAUAUAAAAAGUGAAAAUAUUUAGUAUUAUUAAAUUUUUAAAGGAAGCGGAUCUUAGUCUUUAACAUUGUUGUCUUAAACAAAAAUUUGCAAAAUGGUAAGUUAACAGCCUAUCGUUUAUAUGGAUCAUAGGAAAAUGGAUAGUGAUAAAAAUGCAUUUUAUUAGAUGAACACAUAUAUAGUGUUAAUUAUAUUUAGUAUUUGUACAUCUAAGGAUUGGAAUAAUUUAAGCAUUAUAGUAGAUAGAUUUUCACAAGUUUGUCAUCAAAUAUCUACAUUUGAUAUUGGUUUUUGACCUAAGUGUGCUAUUAUAGUUAUAUAUCCUGGUUUAAUCGGAUGAUACUUGAGCACUUUUUUUCCAUCCAUAAGUGAAAAUGUUAUCUUCAAUUUUGAUAUCUCAACUCCUAUGGUGCAGUGGUUCACAAUAAUGUCAUUCUUAUUUGGUGAAAUAUGCAUACGUCUUCUAGGUGUAACUCCUAUAAUACCAAAGAGAUUGGUGUUAGUUUUUUUUUUCAAUGCUAGCAGACUGCAUACAAAUUGAAGUGUGAACAUUACUAAAUAUUCCAUGUCCUAUGGUCUGAUCGUCAAGUAAAAUGAAAACUUUGUGAGCAAUCCUUCUAUUCGGGAGAAACUGCCUGUGAUUUUUUAAGAGAGAAUAAAAAAUAAGGAAGCUAUUUGUAGAUGGGUGUUAGCUGAGAAGAGGAGUUCAGGUAAGUUAAGGUACCAUGUUCUUUUUCGAUGUCGGCAUGAAUUGGAGUUAUACUCCAUCCGUAAAUUCGUAAAAAGUUGAGCAAUCAAGAAUAGUAAAGAUGGAUGUGCACAAAAAGCAUUAAAUAAGUGUCUAAUCAUGGAAUCAUUUAUUAUAAUAUUUUUAUUAAUAUAUAUAGAGUAAUUGAAAGAAAAAAAUUGAUGCCAAACCUCUUAGAUGUUCAUUUAUAGCUUUUAUUAUUAUUAUUAUUACAAACCUAUUGAACAAAAUCUAAGUUGGCUAGAUUGGCUUAAAAUGAUUAUCGUUGCUAUCAUUACACAAAAAUUUAUAAACUAAGAGAAACAAACAACAAAUAAUAAACUAGACCUUUCACUUUCUUUGCCUGGCACAAAAAUACUGCACACUCAUUCUAAUUCAUUAUCAUUAUUUUUUGAAUUUUUAAAAACACAUGGUGCAGCAAAACUGGAAUAAAUUGUUGUUGGAAGGGCUAUUAUCAUCUUUUGGCUAACAUUCAUUCGGGGCAAAAUCAAAAUAAACUGACCUGAGAGGGGCAUUAGGAAUGGCCCAACUGACAAGCACAAAAAGAGAAGGAACCACUAAAGAAACAAAGACUCAAUAGCCACUUGGAGGUGGAAGGUCAAGUGAUCAAACCUUGUAUUCUACUAACUACCAUAUGUGGCAUGCCACUUUCAGUGGCUUCCUCCGAAAGUGAUUUCUGUUGAUCCCCUAGAAUAGAUAGAGUAGGUUAUAGAAAUGUUAUUGUUGCAAAAAAAAAUAACUAACUAAAGAAACAAAACCCUACAACAAAGAACCCAAUAAAACCAAAUUGCCCCUAUACUUGGUUGGAAAUCACAAUCCAGCUGGCAGAAUCGGGGAGGGACGACUUCUACUGUUCCCCAACCUUAGCUGCUUUUAAUAGCUAGGAUAAAGGAUUUUUAUGCUUGGAAUAUAUUUACUCUUCACGGGUGCAUAGUAGUUGACACAAGAUUUGCAACCAUAGCUGCCAGGUACAAUUCGUACAAGCAAAACCAUGCACUCGAAGGUACAACAACAAGAAGCACAUCAUUGCUCAACAGUAGAAGCGGCAAGUGCUUCUUAUCUGUAUAAAGGACUAGGAGGGGAUCGUCGCACAAUGCGCGGUGUGAGGUUACAACAUUAAUAUACCCAGAGCCCUCAAUGGCUGCAUUUUCCAAUUAAAAAUUAAUUUUUUAUAUAAUUUUCUUUGUGUGGUCGAUAAUUGAAGAUUUUGUUGACAUUUUCAGUUGUGAUUAAUUUAGGUGUAAACUAAGACAGAUAAGAGUUAACAAAGGAAAUAAAAGUAAUAAAGUUGAAGAGUAUAAUAACAUGUAUAAUUGAGGUAGACACUCCCAACACACUAUGCAUGUCACUAAUUGUGAAAAGGGAAUAAGUCAGAAUUUAAGAUACAUUCAUCGAAAAAUGCUCUCUUGCAGCUAUAUUUGGAGAAAUGCCUCUAGUCUUUGCUUGGUCUGCGUCGAGCAAUCAGCCAAUUCUGUUGGAGCUAUGUAUUAGUGCUAAAAGAUUAAAAAGAAUUGUCACAAAAUUUGACAUCUAUACUAUAGUAAGCGAUUCUUGAAGUAAAUAAUAACUAUUUGCUAAAGAUAUUAGAGAGAAGGGAAAGUAUCUAGCAUUCAUGAUAAAACUUCAUUAGCUUCCAAGUUUCCACUAUUCAAACAUCAAUAAAAUCCUGCCAAGAAAGAAUCAAAUUAGAAUUUAAUAACCACUACUAGAAUGACAAUCUUGUUAAACCAUGGAUAAUGGACCAAUAGUUUUUGCCAUGCUUUGGAGCUAUGUAUUAGUGCACCAAAAUGACAAUCCUGUUGGAGCUAUGUAUUAGUGCUAAAAGAUUAAAAAGAAUUGUCAUAAAAUUUGACAUCUAUACUAUAGUAAGCGAUUCUUGAAGUAAAUAAUAACUAUUUGCUAAAGAUAUUAGAGAGAAAGGAAAGUAUCCAACAUUCAUGACAAAACUCCAUUAGCUUCCAAGUUUCCACUAUUUAAACAUCAAUCAAAUCCUGCCAAGAAAGAAUCAAGUUAGAAUUUAAUAACCACUACCAGAAUGACAAUCUUGUUAAACCACGGAUAAUGCACCAAUAGUUUUGCCAUGCUUUGUUGCAAAAAAUUUAAGGAAUUACUAAAGUACAAAAUAUAAAAAUAAAGUCAUCAAGAACACGUUCCAUACUCCUAAGUUUGAGUCAUCAUUAUAUUUGAAUAAAUACCUGUUAUGAGGACUCGCAAAAUUCUUCUUAUUUACUUAAAAUACCCUUUUAUUUUGAUUAAAUUAUUUUAUAAUAUCUUUAUUACUCAUUUACUCCCUCAAUAGUUACAAUAAAUCAUAGAAUCAAGGGUUGUACCUUUAAUUUUAUAGUUAGCGUAAAUUAGGGUUUUCGCGUAUUUUGGCCGUGUGAUCACUUAGUGAGUUGUGUGUACUAAAUUUGGUGGAUAAGAAUGAGUAUUAGGUAAGGAAAAGUGUGUGAUUAGAAGUGAUAAUAAUAAACUAGUGAACCAUAUGUAAAAACAUAAGUACGUGCAAGUUAAGGAAAAACGGUUCGAAUCAACGUGCACUAUUUGCUGUCGAGUUAGUGCACCACUUGAACACUAUUUUAUUACCUUAAUCACCUUGCUUUUAUUUCAGCUAAUCACCCCUAAAAUAUCCUAUAAAGAAGCCACCAUUUUUUACCAAAGGAAAGGAAAGAAAAGAGAAAAAACAAUAAAGGGAAAUCUUGGCUUGACAAGUGUCAAGGAUCCAACCAACGUUGACCAAAUUAAUUUCCUAUCUUCUUAUCUUUCUCUUAGCUUCAUUUCUUCUCCAGUUCUUUCACCUUGGCCGAAAUUCCAGGGAAAGAAAAGAGAGAAAAACUUCCAAAAAUUUCAUCUUGAGAGCUUGGUUGAUUCUUGAGAAAAGUAAAGUGAAACUUGAAUCCACUCUGAUUAAUCUUUGGGGAAGCUUGGAGGUGAGCUUGGUACAACUUUUGGAAGGAAGAAAGUUCUUGUAUCACAACUUAUUUUGGGGGUUUUGAAGUAUUAUACUAGAAACCUCUCUUUUUCUUUCUUAUUUUGCAAUUGAAGCAAUACAUGGCUUGAUAGUGAUGGAUUUUAUGGAAGAUUUCAUGGUCUUGCUCAUUAGCUUAUAAUUUUCAACUAGGGUUUGUAAUUUUCAGUUGUGAUUAAGGUUAUUUAUCUAGUAUAUGAUGUUUAUGAGCUUAGAUAGGGACUUGGGGUAAUUAUUAAAGGCAUGAGUGUUAGUUUUAAGCAUUAAAACAUCAAAUUUCCAGCAUUAAUGAUGAAUCUGCCCUGUUUCUGACCUAUAUAUUCGUCCAUGUUAGAGGCCCAAUCAGGUAUAGAUCAAAACAUGAAAGUUGUAGGGAAUGAAGUUAACUAUCUGCCUGUAAAAUUUUAACUCAAUCGGAGUACUAUAGCAUAUGAAAUGACUAAAAUACCCCUGACUGCCAAAAGCCCAAUUUCACAGGCAACUUUCUGUUUUCUCUAAAAUUGCACAUUUUGACCCUAAAAUUACACGAACUGGGUGUCGAUAUCUUUAUAGGAAAUGUAGGUCUAUGUCUUAGCUUCGAAACGCCAUAAAAUUUACCUCAAUCCGAUAAGCGUAGCUUCAAAUGUGACCAAAACGCCGGAAGAUGUCAAACCUGCUAUUUAGCCAUUCGUCUUCAAAAUUGGUUUCCAACUUUGAUUUUUAUGGUUGCAUUGCUAGAAUUGCCUUGUAUUUGGAUGACAUUGAACCUAAUUGAAGGGCUAUUGUGUUAAGAUUGCUUAUGUGUGAAUUUGGGCUGAGUUGAGGGAAAAAAAUGAAGCCAUAAAUGGCUGAAAAAUAGCAAAAUACAAAGGGCAGGCUGCCCAAAUUUCUAUUACUUGCUUUUAUAAAUAUUAGUGAGAUGUAAGGUUUGAGUUUAGAGUUAGUUGGAUAUUAAGUUAUAUAUGUAUCCUUGAAUGCAUUUCAAUAUUAGUAUAUGAGUUAUUUUGAUCAAGAUUUGGUAUUAACUAAGAUGAAAAAUGUUAAUUUUCUCUCGAAAACUUUGAAUUACCUUUGCUCACUUCAAUUUGAAAUUGGUUAUUCUUGGGGUUUGUCGGUGAUCAAGGGCAUAAUAUGGAAGGAAACUUUUGACGCUAUUUUGCUUAAAUUGGUGAGUGUUUUUUGUAGAUUAUGUUCAAAUGACUAUGUGGAUUGUUAUGAAUGUUUAAUUAAAUGUUAAAUUUUUCAAUGAUUGCAAAAAUGAAUUUUUGUUAGGCGAGUGUGUACUUUAUCGCAUUCGACCUAAAUGAACGUGAAAUUUUCAAUGAUUAAAUGAUUAAAUGCUACUUGUGUAUGAAUGUAAGUCUUUUGGCUGAACUGAACCCUGGCCCUUCGUUGCCAGUCGACUCGCACCAGAAGCAGACUCGGUCGGGCGACUGGUGAUCCUAGGAUAAUGUUUGGUAUACUCGAGUAUGACCACAAAAAUUGGUGGAGACUAACCAGUGAAUUGGCUAGUGGCGGGAAAUGAAAUGAAUGAAUGAAUGUCAAGAACAUUGGAGGAGUUUUCACUUGCAAAUUUUUCUAAUGUUGGAGGAAUAAGGAAAAUGGUUGGCAAACGAAUGAACGAAUGGCUUCUCGUGAGCAUGUAUCCUUUUAAUGAGUGAGUUAUUAUUGCUUUUAUAUGUUAAAUAUUUUCUGAAUUAUUUGCUAUUAAAUGAUUAAUGUUCUAGAUUUAAUUGCUCGAUUAUGUGUAUGGAACCUGAUUGGGCUUUUAACUCAUUCCUUUAGUUUUGUUUUCCUUAUAGGGAAUAUGAGCGAGGCGUGAGACGUGUACAGGCUAGUGUAGUCUAGUUUUUUUUGGAUUUUACAAUUGUACUCGCGUUAGUACUUGACUAGGUUUUUUGCACCUGGAUUGUAAACACCUUGAUAUAUUUGGGCGUGUAUAAACCUUGUAGCUGGAUUUAAGCAUCAAUGUAUAUGUUAAGUUUGGAAUCAUUGUUUUAUUUCUUUUCUAUGAUUGUAAGCUCUUUUCUGGAGUUAAAUGUGAGUGAGUCCUGGCAAGAGUUGGGCAGGCGACUCGCUAAACCCUCGGGUACACCCUAGGAGGAGAUCGGGUCGUCACACCUGUUGCCACUCGAACUUGUCUCAAACAUUAAUGUUGGAUGAAUAAAUAAACAAUAGAAAGCAAAUAAACAGCAUAUGCAUUUUGAGCCAUCAUCAUAUAUUUGAAUAAUAUCUCUUGCCAACCAAAUUUUCCUCAAAUGUGAAUGGUAGAUAAAUAAAUAAAGAAUAGAAAGCCAAAAAAAUAACUUAUACAUUUUAGCUUAUAAAUCAUGGACAUACCUUCAUUCAUGCCAACUUUUUACCAACACAGCAUGAAUGAACAAUAGAACAUCAAGUUAAACCAAAAGAAAAAGUGCAAAAAAUUUCAAACAGUAGAAGCUAAAAGCUGAAAAUAUGUGUAUAUCAUCGUUUCAUCAUUCAAAUCAGAGAAACAGAGAAAUGUCAACUGCAUAACAAAGACUUUUUCACUUUUAGCUAUUUAGCAAAAAAUGUGAAACACAAAAAAAAAGUGUGUUUUCACUAUGAAUUUUGACAAUGUUAUCUAUCCCAAAUGUAAAUGGUCAAAUCUAUAAAUUGUUAGGCAUAUAACAAAACAAACUAUUGAUAACUUUUAAUUCGAACAUGUCAUCUCAUGUAGUUCACUUUGAACCCAUCUCGAGUAAAGUUCAUUAACUUCAGUGCUUCUAGAGUCUGUGCUUCUAGAGAAUUGCCAUUAUCGACUCUUUAAGCUUCAUAGUCAUCAAACACAAUUUUAUCUAUCUCAGAUGUAAAUGGUCAAAUCCAUAAAUUGUUAGGCAUAUAACAAAACAAACUAUUGAUAACUUUUAAUUCGAGCAUGUUAUCUCAUGCAGUUCACUUUGAACCCAUCUCGAGUAAAGUUCAUUAACUUUAGUGCUUCUAUAGUCUGUGCUUCUAAAGAAUUGCCAUCACUGACUCUUUAAGCUUCAUAGUCGUUCAGCACAAUCAAGCUACAAAAGAAUUAAACGAAACAAAAACCAUAUCUUGUACGGAUGCAAAGAUAUAAGAGAUUUUGAACUACUAACUAAAAAGAAAAAGGAAACUAUAACCGUGUAGCAAUGUGAUUUAUUUCCUAGUCAGGGGUACACAAUUUAAAGCUAUUCAGGAACCUUUGGAGGGUGAUCAAAGGGGGUUUGAAAUUGAUCUAGUCAAUUUAAACCAGUUAUUAUAAAAAGAACAGAGAAAACCGUUCAUUCUAAUAUUCCAUUCACAUCCACUGUUGUAGACAUUCUCUCUAUUUUAUGUGCUUGCAAGUCAAUUUUACUUCUUCCACCACUUGUAGAUGUUCAAAUCUCUUUAACAGCAGUGUCAGCUGUAUGGCACUAUCCAUUGCUAGAGAUUUACAAGGCUCUAUCCUCAAAAUAGACCAUCAAAUAUAGCCCUUUGAAAGUAACAUAACUCUAGCGAUGCCUAUCCCCAUUUUUCCAAGAAAUAAAGUUUACAAAAAAAAAGAAGAAAAAUGCUUAUUUUCUCUAAUUCUUUAGAACCCAGAAGACCAAAAAACGAAGAAACCAAAUGUAGAUACAUUAAAAAAGUCUCAGUUAAUCUCUUGUCAUGACUAAACAGCUACAAAAUAUGCAAUUUAACGUUACCAAAAGCCAUCAUUAUGAACAUGUUAUCUUCUAAUUACCAUAAAGAGAGAGAAAAUUAGGAGAUAGAAUUUCUACCCAAAUACCACUAAGUGACUAACGUACGCUGUUUUUCUUUUUCUUUUAUGUUUUUGGGUUGUGAAAUAGGAAAAAGGAAAGGCCCUGAAUAGAUUUUCUCAACUAACCAAUUUUUUAUACUGAAGUAAAAAAGUAGCACUAUUUUUUUAAAAAAAAAAAAACAACUAUCAAAUAUCAUAUUUAUUCUCUAUUAAGACGUAUAUGUUUGCAAGACCUCCCAAUUAUUUAGAUAUUUCAUUCUAAACAUCAUAUAGUUUCUACACUUGACCACAAAAUUUCUCAAAAGUUUAAGACACGUUGACAAAAGCUUAUUUUGGGUCACUAUAUAAUUGAACCAAAGCAUCAAGCAAUUUCUCUAGCAUGACCAAAAUAGUAUAAAGCAAAAGGAAAAAGGCUAAAGCUUUUUCAUAAGUAAAACAUCAUAUGAUGAACGAGCUAUAAUUGUAAAUCAAAGCAGCACGCCUGAGAAUUUCUGGUAUAGCUCUCUAGAGAUUGUUUCAAAGGUGAAAACAACCAAUAAGAACAUCAUAAAUUUACAUGAUCUUAAAAUUAUUAUACAAAUGAAAAAAAAGAAUCAGUGAUCAAAUCUUUAAUUAAAUCAAACAGUAAUUAUAGUAAUUUAAAGUUAGGCUCAGGUCUAUCAACAAAAGUUAGGCAGAGAUGAGAGUACUACCAUGGCUGCAAACCCAAUUGCAUUUGAAGGGGAGAAUGAACGUCAAAUGCCAUCAAGGUUGCCUUACCAAGAUAUGGCAAUUAACUUAAAGCCUGAUAUACAUCUAAAGAAACCAAAAUUGUAUCAUCAUAGCCCAAUUACGAAUAAAAUAAAUUAGUAUAUUUCUAACUUUCGUAUGCUGUAAUACUCCAGCCAGAAAGCUACACCUUUUUCCAAAAAAAUUACCAUCCAUCCUCGUAAUAACCUAGCAAGAAACAAAAGGAAACAUGAAGAAAUAUUCAUAUCAAAGGAAAAAUUAAGAGAAAAUUGCUCAUGAAUAGACACAUCUAUGCAAAAAAAAAUGAAAGGAUAAACCAAUAUACACCCUUCAUGAAGUGUCAAAUUGGGAAAUUCUUGACAACAUUAGUUCAGAUUAAAAAAAAACUUAAAAUUUGAAUGGCCAUGCAAAUCGUCAAAAUCUUAAAACAAGAAGUGACUAUUAAACUCCUUUUGUACCUUAAAUAAUUCUUUAGAAUUGCUGACGUGAAAUUGACUUUCCCAAAUUGUAGUUAUGUUUGUCCUAUAGAACUUAUUUAAACUUUGGAAUUCUAGGUUAAUGAAAUGCAUUGGAGAAUUAGUACCGGCCAUAAAGUAUAACAAACCGUUCUAACUCUCUAACAAAUAUUAUUAACUGCUGUACAUUCCUACUUAUAUGAAAAUUAAUCAUGAAAAAGUGUAAGAGAAAAUGGUAGCAUAGACAUAAGAUGAUAGGAAAUUUCACUGAUGAAGAGCUAUGUUUUACCUAUCUUAUUUUGGUUUUGUAAGGCUCGAAGACAACCAAUGAGACAAUUAACAAGAAAGCAAGGCUGCUUGGGAGUAGAAAAGAUAAUCAAUUUAAAGAGCACAAACGUAACAAUAAGUAAAUAAAAAGGAAAGAAUUGCAAACCAAUUAACUACCUAACUCCUCUUGAGCUUGUAGAUUAAUUCAGACAAGCUACUUCAAAUUGAUGAAUUACAAUCACUCUUGUGUACAAAGGAAGGUUCACCUCCUGCUUACCCCGAACUCCACUCGGUCAAAUCAGGACGUUUUACUAUCCCUCAGGACAACCCUCACAGAGCUACACUCAUGAAGUAUUCACUCACAAAUGAAAAGUUUACAAUGAAUCUCACACCACUAAGACUACAAAUCUUCUUUUGAGAGUAUUUUCUCACUAAAAUCACUUUAAAUCUUUCGUAUCUUCAAUGUGUCAAAAUUGUUUCAAGUAUCUGACCGACCACUAUUCAUAUAGGAUCAAGAAAGUACUUCAUUAAUGCUUCCAACGGAUAGAAAGUAGCUGAAAAGUCAACCAGCCGUUGGAGUGUCGGACGUCCGAUAGCCCUGUUUUAUGCGUCCGAUAGCAGGCAGUAAUUUUAAGAGAUUUUCUUCAAUUCUUUCGGACGUCCGGUGCAAGCUUUUUGUGCGUCCGACAGCAAACAAAGAGAUUUGAGAAAUUAUCUUGUUUCUAUCGGACGUCCGGUAGAGACAUAUUCAGCGUCCGAUAGUUUUGUCGACUUCGAAGGAUCCUAUCGGAGGUCCGAAGCAUGCGUCCGAAGUUGUGCAAUGAUUAUCGGACGUCUGGUAUUGUCUUCUUGAGCGUCCGACAGGUUCAGCAUACUCUAUCUUUUUCAAAUGUGCUUAAUCUUUGAACAUGAUUUGAUUCAUUUCUGAAAAAGCCUUUGAGGAGAUGUUAGCAAUAUCCAUUUGUUUUGUAAUCAUCAAAAGUUAGGGACCAAGGUCAACAUUCUCCCCCUUUUUGAUGAUAACAAAACAAUGGAUGAAAGAAAGAAAAAAAAUUGAGCAUAUAAGCAUAAACUCCCCCUCACACAAUGCAUCUAAACUUAUAAUUUCAGAAUAACUCCGCCUUACACAUAGCAUCCAUUGCUCCCCCUUUUUGUCAUCAUAAGGUGAGAGUAAAAAUCUCAUACCGUAAUCCAGCAAUAAUAACAAGGAAUUCAACAUUCCAAACAAAAACAGAGAAAUGAUAUCAGAAAUCAGCAAUCACCAACAUACCAACAUAUCACAGAGAGUUUAACAAAUCAAAUCAUCAUUAGAUCAGAAUUAUUCUUUUCUCUCUUUUUGACAUCAUAUAAAUUCAGUAAUAUUCAAAAACAUCAAGAAAAAACUCAGUUCUAAGCAUCAGAAACUUCAAAAAAGAAUUACAAAAAAGCAUUAUGAACAAGAAUCUCAUCAAUCUUACUAAUAUCUCCUACUUGUUAGAGUUAGCAUCAUGUCUAACUAUCUACAUGCAUUUCAUGCCUUUUUUUAUAUUUUUUCUCACAUAACAAUCACUUUUCAUGUGACUUUUUUGACAGCAGAAAUUACACAUAAUCAAGAAGUUAUUUACAUGAACAGGUUUAAUAAAUUUUACUUAUCUUCUCUUAUAAAUAGCAAAUUCGUUGGAAUUAGAAUUCAACCUAUUCUUUUGAAAAUAAACUUGUUUCUUGUGUUUAACCAAUUCAUUUAGACCAUCCAUUCUUCUUUUCAAAUCACCUUGUUCCUUUUUGAACAAUUCACAAAUCUUUGUUUUUUUAUCAAGUUCAAAGUGUAAAGCAGUCUCACUCUUUUUGAAAUAAUUAUUUUCAGCUUUCAACUUUUUAUUUUGUUUAAAAAGAUUUGCAUUAUCUCAAAGUAAAAAACUAAUUUUUUGUUUUAACUCCUUGUUUCUAGCAUAGGAUUUUUUUAAACUAUCAUGCAAUUUUAUAAUGAAAGAUUCAAGAUCAUCAUCAGUUUCAUCAUCACUUUCCAAUUGAGAGUUACAAGAUGUUACCUCAUCAUCUCCAAUGGGCAUAAAAGCCAAUUGAGCAGAUUCUUCAUCCUCUUCAAUUUCACCAUCGGAGUUGCACUCAUUCCAUGUGAAUUAAAAUUUGUUGAAUCUUGAUUUUCUUCUUUCUUUCUUCUUCAUCACUGGACACUCACUUGUAUAGUGUCCAGGUUAGCCGCAUUCAAAACACUUAUCAGUUUGCUUUUUGUUGAAUUUAAGCUUCCCUAUGUUUCUCAAGUUGUUGGACUGAUUCGGAAAGGAGUUGUUAGGUCCACUUUUUCUGAAUCUCCUCUUGUUGAGUAUUCUUUUGAAGUCUCGUGUGAUGAGUGCAAUAUCACUGUCAUCACCUUCCAUGUCAUCUUCACUCACGGAGGCUGUAUCAUCUUCAUCUUGUGAAACCUUCAGAGCAAUAUUCUUUCUCACUUUUGUGUCUUCUUCUUCCUGCACCUUGGACUUGAAUUUUAGCUCAUAAAAAGUCAGUGAAUUAAUGAGAGAUUCAAUAGGCAAGAUAUUUAGAUCUUUGGCUUCCUCAAUGGCAGUCACUUUACUCUCUCAAUCCUUCGAUAAAGCAUUCAGAAUUUUUCUGUUUUUCUCACCUAGAGAGUAUUCUUUUUUCAGCACCUCCAAAUCCUUAAUGAGGUCAUUGAAUCUACAAUACAUCUCAUCAAUGUUUUUAUGAGGUUGCAUCUUGAAGGAUUCAUACUUUGUAACUAGACUGGACUUCUUUUGUUCUCUAACAUUCUCACUACCUUCAUGAAUUUCUCUCAAUUUAUCCCAAAUUCCUUGGCUGACUUGCAGCCUUUGAAUCUAAUAGAUUCAUUUGAGUCUAAAGCACAAUAUAACACAUUCAUGACUUUUACAUUUAAUGUGAGAUGAGCUCUAUCCGCAGCAAUCAGUUAACUUCUUGUUUUUUGUUUAGAUCUCUGAGUAUUUUCAUUUAUAAGAGAGGCAUCAUAUGGACUUUCACUAAUAAUAAAUCAUAAUUCAAUAUCAAUAAAUUGCAAAAAUAUAAUCAUUCUUUCUUUCCAACUCACAUAAUUUGAUCCAUUAAAUAUAGGUGGUCUAAUGACAGAAUGUCCUUCAAAAAACAUAACAUUGUUGGUUGUCAUAUUUACUCCAAAGUCGAUUGAGUUUAAUUUCUAGGAGACCAAACUCUGAUACCAAUUGUAAGCCUCGAAAACAACCAAUGAGACAAUUAACAAGAAAAUAAGGCUGCUUGGGAGUAGAAAAUAUAAUCAAUUUAAAGAGUACAAACGUAACAAUAAGUAAAUAAAAAGGAAAGAAUUGCAAACCAAUUAACUAUCCAACUCCUCUUGAGCUUGUAGAUUAAUUCAGACAAACUACUUCAAGUUGAUGAAUUACAAUCAUUCUUGUGUACAAAGAAAGGCUCACAUCCUCCUUGCCCGGAACUCCACUCGGUCAAUCCAGGACAUUUUACUAUCCCUCAGGACAACCCUCACAGAAUUACACUCAUGAAAUAUUCACUCACAAAUAAAAAACUUACAAUGAACCUCACACCACUAAGACUACAAAUCUUCUUUUGAAAGUAUUUUCUCAUUAAAAUCACUCUAGAUCUUUUAUAUCUUCAGUGUGUCAAAGUUGUUUCAAGUAUUUGACCAACCACUAUUCAUAUAGGAUCAAAAAAGUACCUCAUUAAUGCUUCCAACGGAUAGAAAGUAGCUGAAGAAUCAACUAGCCGUUGGAGUGUCGAACGUUCGAUAGCCCUGUUUUAUGCGUUCGACAGCAGGCAGUAAGUUUAAGAGAUUUUCUUCAAUUCUUUCGGACGUCCGGUGCAAGCUUUUUGUGCGUCCGACAGCAAACAAAGAGAUUUGAGAAAUUAUUUUGUUUCUAUCGCAUGUCCGGUAGAGACACAUUCAGCGUCCGAUAGUUUUGUCGACUUCGAAGGAUCCUAUUGGACGUCCGAAGCAUGCGUCCGAAGUUAUGCAAUGAUUAUCGAACGUCCAGUACUGUCUUCUUGAGCGUCCGACAGGUUCAGCAUAUUCUGUCUUUUUCAAAUGUGCUUAAUCUUUGAACUUGAUUUGAUUCAUUUUUUAAAAAGCUUUUGAGAAGAUGUUAGCAACAUCCAUUUGUUUUGUAAUCAUCAAAAGUUAGGGAUCAAGGUCAACAGGUUUGCAUAUAGUCCAGAAGCUUAAGAUCUUCCAAAAAAUUUUGAGAUUCGCAAGGAAAAGACACAUAGAGGACCAAACUUUAAAAAAGUUACGGAAAAAAUGAUCAUCUGUAAAACGAAAAGGAAAAAGAAAACCACGACCUCCAGUGGUAGUGUCUUUCACAAUCCAAUAAGUCUAUGAUUGCGUAAAACUCAUUCAGUUCUUUGUACAAUACAAUAGCACCAAAAUUUGAAGUGUUUUUUUCAACAUAAUGAUAGUAUGUAUAGAGAAAAAAUGGGAAAAUGUCAAAUCUAUUUCAAAAAUAAAUAUCAUACAUAUCUGAGACAAUUCAAAAGGUAUCCACCAUUUGACAAUAGUCCAUUAGCAGCAUGCAAAUAAUUAAGGAUCUAAGGCUGAAAUUCAAGAACCACUCUAUCCAAUAGUGACCAUUCUUCAAUCAAAAUGCCACAAAAAAAAUGGAAAAUAUAACAUUUUUAACUUAAAAAUUUUACUAUUCCACGAAUUAGUUUUAGAACGAUUGAAUCUUGAUUUGGUCACUCCUUUAAUAUAGUAAAGUAUGUUAAUAACAUAACCAAAGUACAAAAAAAAAGUAGAUAAUUUAAGAAAUAGGAUCUGAAUGCAAACGAAUCCUAACAUCUUCUUGUUAUUCAGCCGCAAAAAAUUAACUAUACUUUUUCAACAAAUGAAGAAAUUGGAAAGACCAACAUAUCAUACCAAAUUUUUUAUUGCCUACAAAGAUUAAAACCAUUUUAGGGACCAGUAAAUCUACUAUAAUUUAGGUUGUAUUCUCAAAAUGUUAUCCCCAGUAGAUGAUUACAAGCCAAUCUUAGCUUCUCAUAACCAAAUCAAUAGGAAUUUUAUUUUAAAAAAAAACUGGCAUUUUUGUAAACAAAAAUAAGUAAAUGAUGUUCUUGUAAAAGAAAAAAGAAAGGCAAGAUCUUUGCAAAUACGCAAGGAAGAGGUAUUUAAAACAAGUAUCUAAAUUAGUAGGGCUCCAUGAUCACUUACAGUGCUAUUGGCUAUUAGUCAAAGAAAACCCAGAAACUAAGAACACACAAAAUAUUUUCUUGUCAAGGAUUCACAAUAGAAAACCUGGAAAAUUACAAUCGAAACUUAAUUUACCAAAAUAAAACAUGAAAUUUACCAACUUUUCCCACCUGCAAUCACAAAAAAAAAAGGUCUAGUUCAGAUCAAUUAAGUAGAAGGUGAAAACAACAUGAACAGAAAAUUUAAUGAAAGAAAAAUCUCAAAAUAUUCAGGUUCAAAACCUAAAAGAAUUUCAGAUUUGACUCUACCACUUGUUCAUCGCAUACAUGAAUAGAAAAAGGGUGAAAGGAAAAAGAGGAUUUUGACCCAAAAAAAAUAAAAAUAAGAGAGAAGAAGACGAAAGGAAGAUGACCAAGCAGAGGCAGAAACAUCUGGAGCCCUUUUAUUCUGCAAUAUAAAAAAAAUAAACUGCAUUAGUUUGCUCAAAAAGCUACAACUAAACCUCCCAUUUUGCUAAAAAAAAGAAAAAAAAUUAAAGGGCUAGAUUAUUUUUAGCAGAGGAAGAAAGAACCUCAGAGCAAAUUAUUUUUUCUUCUUACCAUUUGUUCUCGCCAAGAUAGAUAGAAGAUAAGAAGAUGAAGACGAUGAUGAGCAUGAAGAUGAAAGGCUGAGGGGGGUUUGGGUGAUGAUGAAAAGCGACAAACCAUGGAUGGAGAGGAGGAGAAAAGACGAUUCUGAGUUCUGAAGCAUCGAGCAGUCAAUUCUCACCAAACCCACAUGGGUUUCUUUUACAAAGUUUAAAAAAAACGUGAAAGUCACGUGGGAUCAGAUUUCAGAUUUCAGUGGAAGACUUCCAAACAAACAAAAAAAGUUUAAAAAAACGUGAAAGUCACGUGGGAUCAGAUUUCAGUAGAAGACUUCCAAACAAACAAAAAAAAUUGUCAGACGUCCAGUUCACACGAGCAGGAUGACCAUCAAUUGGCCAAUGGCAGAUCGACACAUCAGCAAUUAGAAUCAAUUGGGAAGACUUGCAUCCCCCAGUGGACUUAGAUAUGUUAAUAAUAAAGGAUAUGAGCAUUUCACAUCUACCAACCACAUUUAAUAACAUAUGGUGGUAUGAUAGUUAGAUGAUUGACCAAUAGACUUGGUUCCAUGUUAAUUUAAUAGUCAGUCAUCUUGAUGCAUAUUUUAUUUAUGUAGUUUAGUACUUUAGUCUUGUGAUUGAACUAGCUCCGAUGAUACAGCAUGUCCAAAGACAGAUGUAAACGAGUGACUACUCAAAUUGAUCUAAAGCUUUCUGGGAUGUCAAAUUCAACCACUACUGAGCAAAGGAUCUUCAGAGUCCAUCACAGACUUCGAAGUCAGAAUGAAGAGGCAUACGAACCACAAAUGUUUUCCAUUGGACCUUAUCAUUGCGGUAAGAGUUCCUUGGAAGAAGGGCAGACGCAUAAGCUGAGGUACUUGAAAGAGCUUCUUUCUCGGACAGGCGAGUCAAGUGCUGAGAAAUACAUCGAGGCCUUGACAAAUCUUGAAGACAAAGCUCGAGGGUGGUAUGCAGAGGACGACCUGAUCGGUCUUGGUGCUGAUGAAUUUGUAGAAAUGAUGUGUCUUGACGGGUGCUUUAUCAUUGAUUUCUUCAGGAAAUUCGGUGCUAAGUAUGGCACAGUUGAUGUUAAUUAUCUCCCCAAAGCAGAUGAUCCCAUUUUCCAAAAGCGUUGGAUAAUGGGAUCUUUGUUCAGGGACAUAUUAUUGUUUGAAAAUCAGCUGCCCUUUUUCAUCCUUGUUCAAUUGUUUGACAUGACCAAGCCACCAGGUGGGGCUAUAGAAGUGAACCUAAUUGAUCUUGCCACUUUCCCUGAAUCCCCUCUACAUUCCUUUUUCCCUGGUGAAAAACCUGAAUCAUUCACAAAUCCUACCACAGUUCUUAGAGAUCGUGAUGCACAGCAUGUAGUUCAUCUUCUUCACCUCGUGCACGAAUGCUGGUGCUGGUCAUUCGCUGCAAAACUAAGGGCGCCGGCUGAUGUUGAAAUCCAAGGAAACAGGGUUUCACGAGUCGUUUACUCCACAAGGGGCGGGAAUUUGGAGCAUAUAGAGUCUGCAAGCGAGCUACGACAAACAGGAAUCAAGUUUGAGAAGGCUAAGCAAAGUGUAUCGUGGCUCGAUAUUACUUUUGAAAGAGGGGUAAUGAAAAUCCCGCCUUUGUACGUUCAUGAUGUUACAGAAUGUGUUCUGAGAAACUUAAUCGCCUACGAGAUGUACACGCUUAAUGGACCCUGGGAUAGGAAAUAUGUACUCGAUUACGUGACCUUCAUGGAUAGUCUCAUAGAUUCCUCCAGCGAUGUUGAAAAGCUUCGAAGCAGGAAAAUUAUGACCAAGUGGCUAGGCGAUGAUGAAGCGAUUUCAUCAAUGUUUAACAAACUGGGAAAGGAGGUUGAGUUUGAUCAAGGCAACAGGCUCUUCUGCUACUGGAAAGUUUUCCAGCGAGUGAACGAGUACUCUAGCAGCCGUUGGAAUACCUGGAGGGCUCAUCUGCUAAGGAAUUAUUUCAACAAUCCAUGGUCCAUCAUUUCAUUUCUUGCUGCCCUGGUGUUGCUGUUUCUCACUCUUGUAGCUACCAUAUCUUCCAUCCUACAAUAUACAGACCAGCCAAACUGUAUAUGUAAAUCGUCCUAGUAGUUAACAGUACUUGGUAAUUCGACCAAGCGUGUGCUUGUUUAUUUUGCAAUUAAGAGAGUAUAUUGCGAAGUUGUAUGUUUCUCACUUCUCAAUGUUAUUGUUUCAUCAUUAUACCAGAUCGUAUGCAAAUGAGAUUUUUAUAUGCUAAUUUGUGUCAGUUCAGUUCAGGUUUUACAUUUCUCGUCAAUUAUCAUACACAAUAGUAUAUUUUACGGUAUUAUAAACUCGGAUCAGACCAGCCGAUUUGAUCGGUUGAAGUGGACAAUAGGUGCAUGGACCCAAAAUCAAACAAAAUAGUAAACAAGGAAAACAGGGGAGGUUACAUUGCUUAGAAAAUGAAGCAAAAUAAUUAUGGAUGGGAACAUGUACAGCUUUUUCCACAAAUAUAUAUAUAUAUAUAUAUAUAUAUAUAUCUAUAUAUCUAUAUAUGAAAGCAGCUAUUUUAAUUAGACUGUUUCUCACUCCUAUUUGGCAUGCUUAAUUGAACAGUAUUUACAGGUCAAGUUUUCUUUUGGAUUGACCCAAUUAAUUGGUUAGUGUUAAUAAUAUCGCUUCUUUCCAAGUUUUCAGAAUAGAAAUAUCUAAUCCACUUAAUCAUAUAUCUUUCAAAAUAGACAUAUCUUAUCCACUUAAUCACAAAUCUUUCAAAAUCCUAUGUUUAAAAAAAUCACCUCAUCUUCGAAAUUUUCUCUUUACCUUUUUUCACACAAACAGUAUCCACUUAUUUUGAUCAUGAAUAGAUAAACCUAUUAUCUAUUGUGAAAUUGCAUUUAGAAUCCACUUAUUUUUAUCAUGAACAGAUGAUAUCUAUUGUGAAAAUUCAUUCAGAUAUAAAAUCAUCAAAAUUGGAAAUCUUAUUCUCAUAUCAUAUUAACCUCAAAUUUGAAAUCCUAUCCCAUACUUAUAAAGUGUAUUAGUCAGUAAUGAUUUUAAUCAUUUCAGCGACUAUUUGGUUCAUCUAUUGGUUUAUACAUUUUUUUUUUAGAAACUUUAUGCCUCAUAUGACGAUGAUUUAGUAGUGGUUCUUUUGAUACAUCAGCUUUAUAAGUUUUAGAGUACAAAAGGCUCUAAAAAUGUUUGCCCACCUUUUUGGGUUUUUUAAAUAUAUAAGAUGAUUUUUGAGAACACAAUGUUUUUGCGUGGUGUUUUUGUUGACUAUAUGAAUGCAUGGUCAGUUCCUACCUUUUUUGUACCUCCUUAAUUGCUUUAUUUAUCAAAUCUUUUUUCUAAUGUAGGUUUAAUUUUGUACCAAGAGAACAUCUAACCUUUCAAUCAAGGGAAUGUACAAUGCAUGUGUAAGUUCUUCCAAUUUACAUUAGUUCAAUUAAAUAGUUCGUUCCUUGCUAAGCCUUCUUUAUUUAUCUUUUUGAAAUUCUGCUUCAAUUAAUCGAUUAUGGUGUGGCAAUGGAAGCAAGAUGGACUUGCAUGGUAAGAAAGAUGUAGUUUUUUUUUUUUUAAAGAAGUUAGAUGUACGUUUUCAGAAAUUAGUUCACUCAUAUAUAUAUAUAUAUAUAUAUAUAUAUAUAUAUACAGGAACAUUGUUCCCAAAUUGAGUUUUUACCCAAUUUAUUUUUCUCUACUCCUCGUUUUAAUCCUACUUAAUAGUUCUAUAUAUUUUUAAUUUAUUAAAAGUUUUAAACUGAUAGGAUAUUAUUUGUUAGCAAUUUUAUUAUUAAUUUUUCCUUUGUCCCUGUCAAAUAUUGUGUUAAUUGUUGACAUCUACUCCAAAUAUGAUAUAUAGACUCAAUCAGGGACGGAGCCAGAAAUUUAUUUUUGGGGGGGCUGAAGUGUAUUAAAAUUUUUUUUUGUGACGAAAUAAAUAUAUUUAAUAAGUAAAAUUUAGAAUCAAUAAUUAUAAAAAUAAUAAAAACAUAUAAUUAUACAUACCCAAAAAUUUGUUAUUGAUUAACACUUGAAGUAUUGGUAGUUGUUGCACUCGAAUAACGAAGAGGAGGCAAUUGCAUUCUGCGAGUCUUCAUCCGUUGAAAACGCUGUAAUAUUUGCUCAUUUUCAAUUGUUGCAAAAAUAUCCUUCUCGAUGUAUACAACCAGACAGUCAUUCAUCCACUCGUCUCCCAUUUUGUUGCGCAAAUCAGUCUUGACAAUAAAGCCAUAUGUUCCCUUGCUAGCACAUCCAUACAUUGCCCGAUCAAGUUAAGGUGGUCAUAAGAAAAAUCAUUUAGUAUUAAAUUACAUGAUAAUGAUAUGCAUCAUCACCUGCAUAAUCAGUCAGUAUGUACUAAUCUUUUUUAUUUUUAUUCCUAUUUUGUUGGGGGUGCUCAAAAAGGUUAUGCAAUAAUAGUAAAUACCUUAUUUUGCCCAUUUUAUUCAAUUUCAUUGAUACGCACGACGGAUCUUUUGUGCUACUUUCUGUUUCACUUUUUAUCAUAUUAUUUUUUUCUCCUUCAUAACAUCACAUUUUAAUUCUUUUUUAUUUCCUUAAAAUCUAAUAACUAUUAAUUAAAUAAUACAAAAUUUAACACAUUUCUAUAUGUAAAUGGCUUAACCGGAUGAAGAUAAUAGAUGAAAAUGUCUCUGGGUAAGAUACCGUAUUAAAUCUAGGACCUUUUAAUCAGUGAGAUAAAGGCAGACAUUAGACGAAUGGGAAAGAUGAGGCAUCUAAGCUAGGCUAAAUGAUCAAAUCGAAUUGGGUAAAAAAAAAUAAAUCAAGUGAACAAAAUAAGAAAUUUUUUCAAAACGUUCAGCGGGUAUUAGUAUAGUUUGCCCAAUUUAGUAAGUCUCCUAACUGGGCCGUUGGCAAGGAGCCCAAACGCCCAAGGGGCCCCUGUGUUAUUUACGAUGGUUUUCUUGGUCUCAGGACAUAUAAAAAAAAAAAUUCUUGAAUCUUGAACCUAUAUAUAGGGGGUUUUCCGGCGGCUUGGGGGGGGCUUAAGCCCCCACCAGCCCCCCCUUAAAUCCGUGCCUGGACUCAAUUUCAGAGAAUAGAACAGAAAAAUAUAAAAAAGGAGGGACUUUCAGGAGAAAAUUGAAACUCCUAAUAGCUCAAGAGACCUGGCCCACAAGGAAGGAAGCGAAACGGAUUUUCGGUUUCUUUGGCUGAUGAAGAAUUGAUCGGUACUAAGGGUUCUACUAGCAAUAGCAAAUGGGAGCAAGGAAACAUUGAGCAGGACCUGACCCUUUGGUACCUUUUGUCUUCACCUUCGGCGGGGACCACAGAGAAAAAGAAAAAAAGCAUUAGUCAUUGGACUUUAAAAGGGAAGGAAAGAAACGUACAGAGAGGAGAGCUUUUUAGAGCUUAGUUUUCAGGAUAGUUUUUAGUUUCCUUUCUUUGCUUGUCAGGCGCACGUCUACUGUUUGAUAAUAUUUCUCAACGAGAAAAAUAUUUUUUAUUUCUCGUUUCUUAGUGAAUAACUUAAUGCCUUUGCAAUCAAUUAAUUUACGUGGAGAUUUAUUUAUGCAGCGUAGCUAAGCCUUUCAUCUAGUCAAGAAUCAACUCGACGGCGCAGUCUCAAAUAUCUGUGAGAUCUAAUUAGUUUUCACGCGUUUCUUAAUUUGUUAAUAUUUGUGCGUUGCCUAUUUGAAUUUUCAUGGGAUUAUUUUGUUAAUUGGAUGUCAAGGACCCGAUGUUCAAUGUGACUUAUUAAUCUCCUGCCAAAUUAGUCAAUUAAAUCCGUAAUUGUUUAAUUGAUUAAUAUUAGUGGCAACUGAAGUAUUUACACACUAGGGGAACAUGCGAUCUAAUUUAAAUAACCCUCGUAGCGUAUUAUUGAUUGGGGUUAGGUUUUUUUAGAUCUUAAUGCAAUUGGGAAAUUAAUUCCUACGGUCGUACCUAGGAAUAUUUUCUGGUUAGGAGUAAUCAAUGGUCAUACCUUGGUUAUCAAUAAAUUAAGGAAAAAUUGGUCGUUCGAUUUCAUCAGCGACUAUAACUAGCCUAUUAAUAAAUUAAGUGAACCUCUCUUGCAUCAAUGAUCGGAUAAAUGGACAGUGUCUGAGUAGUUGUAUCCUUGGUUAGAAUUUAUCUACCCUCGAUUUAAUUCCUGCUAUAUUCGUGCUAGUUAAUUAUUUAUUUUUAGUUGAAUUAUUUAAUUGUUUUUAGUUGCAUUUUGAUAAAAUCCCCCUUUUACCAAUUGAAAUCUCAAAGAGACAAAUAUUCUCAAUCCCUGCGGAGACGACCCUGCUUGCCACUGUCUACUGUUUAGUAAAUUUUGUCAUUUAAUUAAUUCUGAUAUAUCGGAUUAAACAAAUUCUUCGGGAACAGGGUGAAUUAAGUAACCCAUUGCACACCUAGAGUCCCUACUCCAGUACUUAAGAUUAAUUAUUGACUACUUUUAUUGAUAGUUAGAUUCUAUUUUUAUUAUUACACAGCCUCGACACCCUGUCAUAAACACUUUAUACUAGAUAUGUAUUAGAUACUUUCAUAAUCGCUAUAACCUAUGUCGACCUGUGCAACUGCACGGGUUAAAAUCUAGUUCAUAGUGAGAGAGAGAGAGCAAAUAGUACAAAUUAUCAUUAAAUUAUUUAAAAUUCUUUAUUUGGAUCGCUGAAUUUUUUUCAUUUAUCAAAAAUCACAAACACAAUUAUACUGAAAUCCGCGUCUAAUGGGGAUUCAAGUUCAAUAAUGAUAUGGGAGAAAAGGGAAUCAAGGAAGACGAACCUUGAUAUAAUUUGCAUGUCGCAAUCAUUUGCUAGAAUUAUCUUUAUCAAGGUUAGUAGGUAGGUCGUCUGUCAGUUUAGCCCAUAACUUAGCCGUUACAGGUAGAACUUUAUAAUUUUCUGUUUAUUAAUACGAUUAAAUGUUUUCUUUUCCAAUAGAAAAGGAAGACAAACCUUGUCGAGUCUACACGUGCAAAAGAAAAUCAUGUCGGAAAAUAAGUGGCAGAGAACAUGGCGGGGUGCCAACGUUAUGUCCCAGCGUUCUUGUUUUAUGCUUUCUUUUUGUAUGAUUGAGUGCCUUCAUAUAUAUCCAUUCUAUAUAGGUCUAAAUUUAAAUUAAACCUCCCUAAACUUAAACAAUUGUUAAGUUUUGCCCCCCAUAAUGAAUAGAACGAGCAAUUUGCCUCCUUGACUUAGAUUCAGUUAACUUCCAAACUAACUCCAGUCAUUUUACUUGUAGAUUGUCCAAUUUAUGCUUUUAGUUGAAAUCACUCAAUUAUGAAAUAAUACGUUUUUUUUUUUAAAAAAAAAAAGGAAUGUUUUCUUCAUCAUUGUUAGUUUUGUAGAAAAAUUGAAAUAAUCAAUUCCAUUUUCUUUUUUCCUGGCCUUGAAUUUCUUUGUGAAUCAGAUCUUACACUUUCUAUUGAAAAAGAACAACGAUCUUUGUAUGUUGUUGACUAACUACUAAUUGAUGGGCAAAGCCCAAAUUAAUUGUGAUAAAUAUUUUUAAGAAGCGAGUCACUAAAAUAGAGAAAACCUAUAUGAUUUGUGAAUUUACCGGAAAUUUUUUCAUAUUUCGCACAGCCCUAAUUUUGAGCCAAAAUUGUUGCUUGGAAUUAUUCUAGCUAGAUAUACAUUUAAGUCCAGCAAUUGUCUUGUGCUUAUUCCUAGUCAUGGGCGCUCUUAUCAACGUGUGGAUUAAGUUGCAUGAAUUUGCUCAAAAAAUGUUAAAAUCCACUAACAAAGUUUGUUAGAUGGGGCAAAGUACCUAUUCAAUUUACUUGGAGGGGGACAAAGUGCAAUUUCAAUGGAAAUUGAGGGGAAUAGUUUUGCGCAUUUGACUAUCUUUAAUUGUAGUAUAUAUAAGAACUUUUGGACUCCGUCGGCCUGUCGGUGUUAGCCUUUUAGGUAGUGCCCAUUUUUUCUUCUCAAAUUUAGGUAGGAAUCCAGAUGAAUCACAAUGCAAUUAUUUAGACAUUUGACACGUGAAUUUGGACGGAAUGAACAGAUUUUUCACGUUUGUGAUUGUUGCAUAAUCAUUGGAGUAUACGAAGAUAUUAGAUGGAGGAAUUUUGAGGGUGUCGCAUAAUUCCCAGGUCGACAUCAGCAAAGUUUCUUUUACUGGCGUAAAACGAAUUGAUGUUUCAAAAUGCCAAAUCAUUAGUUUGUUAAUAAAGUCUUGGAUUCUGCGGUCUUCAAUGGCUCUAUGUUUUUGCUUCAGUUUGGAGGAUUUCAGAAAGUUGUGAAGCCCUUACCAUGAAGUGUAUAUUUUCCUUGGUAGAUACACAAGUGCACUUUGAUAUCAAGAACUCAACAAGCUAUUGAUGUUACAUAAAAAUAACAUUUAAUCAUACUGUAUUAUUAUAUUAAGCAAAAUAUCAACGCUAGAUUCUAAAGUGAAUAGUAUGGAUUCUAAGAUUAACUUUACAUGUGAAAGAGAAAAAAAAAAUAGGGAAUACUUAUUAAAGUGAGAUAUCUUUUUCUUUAUUUUUAUCAUUUAAUUCGUCUAGCCUAGUCGUAAUCAUAUCUUAUAUCUUUUUGGCACUUGAAAGCUCAUAGUGAAACCCAUAUGCUUUAACCACAGAAGCAAAUGCCAUUAAAGCACGAGUGUGACACAUAAAAAAAUCUUAUAUUAACUCCAAACAACCACAUUAAAAAGAUAAAAGCUACCAAUUUUUGGCUUAAUUCUAUUGCUUGAUCUAAAUUGACUAUUUGGGGUUCUUAUUUUGAGCCAAGGGAACAUGGAGAUGAGCCAAAUUGUUCCAAUAGCACAAGCACAAGGGAACAUGGAGGAUUGAGGAAAUCCGACCAGUUGCAAUUGAUCAGGAGUGGACUUCCCGGUGAAGGGUACAGAGGCUUGAGAAAUGUUUUACGUUUUUCACUUUUGCGUUUGUGCCUUAUAGGUAGUCGUCUCCGAACCAUUUUAAUUUGAGCAAAUUAUUUGGAGAACCACUGAAUUUUUGAAAUCAUUGAGUUUUUGCCACUGAACUAUUAAAAAUCUAGUUUUGGCUACUAAACUAUCAAAAGUUUAGAUUCUAAACUAUUCCGUAAGAUUUAAUCGUUAACUAUGCCAUUUUCUUUUGUCUUGUGAAGCAUGCGAGUACUUAUUUCUGUCAUGUUUAGCGAUGAAAUUUAACGGAAUGACUCAAAAUCUAAACUUUAGGUAGUUUAAUGGCCAAAACUAGAGUUUUAAUAGUUCAAUGAUCAAAAUUCGACGAUUCCAAAAGAUUGGUGGCCAUCCAAAUAAUUUACUCUUUUAAUUUCAUAAUAUUUAGGGAAAAAACCAAAGAUUCACCUAUAGAAGCAAGGAAUUUUGCAUUAGAGCCAUAUAGGUACUCAUCUCUAUAUGGCUAGUUUGGGAGUUUAGGAUAGAAAAGAAAAGAAAAGAAACCUUAAGCUAUGAAAGAAAGGAUAAGAUGAGAAAAGAAAAAGAGAUUUUAAUUUUAUUUGAGAGUUUAAAGAAAGAAGUGAAAAGAUUUUAUGUCAGUGAAAAUUUGUUCAAUAACCAUUUAAGGACACAAUUGGUAUUUUGAAAAAAAAUUGUAGGCACUCUUCCACUUUCAGUCCAAAUAAGCCCAAAAUCAAAAUGGGUAGAGUGUUUUUCUCUACUAUAGCCUCAAAAUAGAUCCAACCAAAUCCGCUCAUUUCACUUCUUUUUUGACAUAAAGAAUUUUCCAAACAGUGGAAAAUUGAUUCCCUUUAUCACUUUCUUUUCUUUUUUGGCCAAAUCUCUCCUCCCAAACGCACUAUAAACCAUUUAAGCUAUUUAAUUUUGUGAUAAUUUGCUAGCAUUUUGGCUACUGUAGAACGUUGCUGAUAAACUCUUCUUGGGUAUCAUAACAUUUAUAUCAGCUAGGAGUUGUAGCAAGCCAUGCAGAUCUUGACGUCUGUUGGAGAUCCAAGCUUCCAAACACUCCCGUACCCUAGUCAUUCUAUUUCAUUUCUUGCUGCCCUAGUCUUGCUUUUUCUCACUCUUGUGGAGACCAUAUUUUCCAUCCUACAAUAUAAAAACCAGCCAGGUUAUACAGGUAAAUUAUUCUAGCAAUUAUGUGCUUUUGUAUGUGUAAUUAACAGAAUGAGUAUGUCUUAAAGAUCCUAUAUGAUCAAUCUCGCAAUUGUUCCAUCAUUAUAAGGAUCGUAUGCACGAAAUGUUUUAGGAUAAAUUACACUUUAUCCCCUUGUGGUAUAGCUAAUUUUCACAUAACCCCCUAUGGUUUUAAGAGCUAUAUAUAACCCCAUUAUAGUUUGGAUUAAAGUGUCAAAAUGACGGAAAUGAUCAUCCAUAACGAAACCUAUAAAAAUGUCGAAAUUUCCCUUAUUUAAAAACUAAAAUGGUUGAAGUGACCAAAAUACAUAAACAUAAUAUGCAUGACACUCUAACCCGGUAUAGAUUUAUAUUUUCCUAUAUAACCUUCUUAUGGUUUAGUGCUUUAUUAUAUAACUCCCUUAUGGUUUUCAAUCUAUAUACAUAACCCCUCUAUAGUUAAUAAAAAAUUUUCAACUUUACAUAGGGAUAUUUUUGACAUUUUAAUUGACUCCAUUAUGGAUUGCAAAUUCCGUCACUUUGACACUUUAAUCCAAACCAUGAGGGGGUUAUGUAUAGCUUUUGAAAAUCAUAGGGGGAUUAUAUUAAAAUAUACUAAACCACAAGAGAGUAUAGUGUAAUUUGCCCAAUGUUUUAAUGUAUCAAUUUGUGUCAGUUCAAGUUUUUCAAAUUUUAUUGUCUUAGAUUUGUACAAAUUUGUUAUUGUCAUUUCUCCUCUGCUAAGCAUUACACAUAUUUCACAUUGAUAAAGAACUUGGAUUUUCAUCUUAAAAUCAAUCAAGAAUGAGAAAGCUGACAUAUAUAUAUGUAUGUAUGUAUAUAUAUAUAUAUGUAUGUAUGUAUGUAUAUGUAUGUAUGUAUUAGUAAAUUUAUAAAACAAUCUAAUAUUCGAUGACAAUUGGAUUGAAUACAAUAAGAUUUCAUGACUGUUAGAUUAAAUGAAAUGUUCUUGACCUAGUAAAAUGCUAUCUAAUUUCACCCCUCUCUCUCUCUCUCUCUCUACUAUUUUAGGCUAUUGCAAUUGCAUUAGAAGUUCAUUUAGUGUUGGUGGUAAGGUGAUUGUUGAAACUCAUGCCAAAUUGCUUCCAAAUGCGCUACUGAUGAUGAUUGGAUUGAAUCAAAGAAAAAGAUGAAUAAGUGUUUAUAAGUUUUCCUAUUUUAUUAUUUAUUUGCCAUCUUUCCUUAGUCAAAUGACUUUUAUUCCAUUCACUAUUUUAGGGUUGAAUUGUGAGACAUCUGCCAACAUUGACACUUAAAAAAGAAAAAGAGGUACCAAAUUAUGUAUUUUUUUUUUAAUAAAGCUGAAUAUCUUUUUUCAAACUAAACCUAGUUGUCAUUGUAACUAAUACAAACUUUUUCAGGAAAAGGAAACAAAUGAAAAAUUAGACAUGGAUGCAGUCGAAUCUUUAAAAAUAAAUAGAAGUAAUUGAUAAUAGCUCUUUCUUUGAAUUCAUAAUAUUGCAUUCAACUUAUUGAAUGUUAAUUUUAUUAUUUGAAAACAAAAAUUGGAUGGUAGUUAUAUUAGUUAUAAACUCUAUAUAUUUAUAAUAUAUUUUUACUUUAAUAUGUUCAAAAAAAUACCCACCAAUACUAUUGGAUAUCGAGAUCCAUGAGAAUUUGGACAUGGACUUACUUUUCCAUAUCUGUAAGGGUAUGGAUCUGGAUCUGAAUCUAAAUAAAUCUAAUAGAUCUGGAUCCAGAUUAAAAGAAUUCAAUCCAAACCUUAUCCAUUGUAUGCCUAGUCGAGAUGAUAUAAUAAAACUUUUUACUCGAGAAUACAACUUGAAUAUUGGGAUCAGUAAGUGAAGCUCUUCUAGGAAUUGAGUGAAGAGCAAGUGCACGGACAACCCAAAAUCAAACAAGAUAGCAGGCAAGCAAAGGAAAUGCGGGAGAAGACAGCAAGCAUAUAAACUAGAAAGUGAAAGGUAUUAGAGGCCUUAUGUUCAAAUUCUCUUGCUUCCUUUCUGUUCUUAAGUCUCAUCCUUUCCUUAUUUCAAAAGAAACUAAAAAAAUAUAUAAAAAAAAGAAAUAAAUUAAGAGUGGGAAGAUGUACACUGCCCUGCCGGCAAAUUGAUGAGUAAUGUGAAAAUUUGACAAGAAAAAAAUAUUCAAAUUAGAAAUAAAAAAGCUUCUUUCGACAGCUUUGAAAGUGUGCAGACCAUAGAGUCUUAUGAUGACUACGUGGGAUUUUCGUAGCCAUUCAAAUUACAAACCUUUUAUGGCUAGUGAAGGGAAUCCAACGUAUUUUGCCACCACAAAUCCUAUUGGUGUCUGCAACCCCAAGAGCGGAUCAAUGUGUUGGAGAGGUAAAAGAUGUUGCCCUCUCCUUUUAUUCCUGUUUGAAUACAGAGAAAAUCAUGCAGGAAAGUGAGGUGGGAGAAAGCGAGAUAAAGGGAAAGGAAAAUUUUUUUUUUUUUUUUUUUAAAAACACGUUAACUUAUAAGGAAAAAUUAUGACAGAAAAUUGGAAGCUAGUGGUGGUUAGUGACAUUAAUUAAAGUUUUUGUGCCUAACCAACUAUUUUCCUCAAAAUCUUACAAAUUUUACAGAACACAAAAUACAAGAAACUGAGAGAAUGUGCAAGAAAUUUUUUUUUUAAAUUUUCCUAAUAAAUGAAUAUACGUAGAGGAAAAAAUAACUAAUUUUCUUUUGUUUUCCAACACUUUUCCUUGCACACGAACGCUAUCUAAAAGAAACCAAGGAACUUUUUUUUUUAGGCCAAGGAACAUGGUAUCUUAGUCAUAUAACCAAAUUGGACCAACACUAAAACCAAUUCGAGUGGUCUUCUUAGGCAUGGCAAUGCCCCGUUCCCUGCCCCAUCCUCCCACUCUAAAACCUCCUCCCACCUCCAUCCCAUCCCUCGCUUUUUCUAUCCCCUUCCUCCACCCCAUCCAGUCCCUUGUCACUGUGGGUGCCCCACGGUUGUUUAAUUAUAUUUUUUUUAUUUUUUAUUUUGACAUUAUGUUUUAUAUAUAACGUCAAUAACAACAUUGUAAAAAACAUUUUUAGAUUCUUAACUAAAUAUUCAAUGUAAAAUCAAGGUUAAAAAUUAUUUUUGAUUUUUUGAAUUCAUUUCUCUACGUUUAAAAGCAAAUCUAAACUUAUAAUCAUCAUAUUUGUUUAAACAACUAAUAAUAUGUAAAAAAAAAAAAUUGAAGUAAACUAAAGAUAAACAAAACAUCAUUUCAUAAUAGAAAUUAUGAUUUUUUUUAGUUCUCAAUUAUAAUAGAUAUGCAUAUAUUAUUGAUGUGUAUCUAUAAUGCGUCUAGCAAAUCUAAACUCACAAGCAUCAUACUUAUUUUUAACGUUUGAUUAACAACUAAUAAUAUGUAAAAAAUUCAAGUAAAUUAAAAGUAGCCAAAUAAUCAUUUUAUCAUACAAAUUAUGAUAUAUAUAUAGGCAUAUAUUAUUAAUAUGUAGUUAUAAUGUGCAUAUGUAUAUAUGUAUGAAACUAUACACAGAUAUUUACUUUUAGUAAAAAUUUAUAUUAGUAGUAGGGAGGAAGGGGGGAAGAAAAAUCUUCCGCCUCGCCCCCCGUCGGGCCUCAUGUCUCCCCACAGGUAGGCAUGGCCAUGGUUCCAUUUGGAACCGGGAACCGGACCGGAACCGGACCGUUUGGAACCGGACCAGAACCGGAACCAGAACCGUGGAACCAGAACCGUAGUAGAACCUUGGAUAAAGGUUCCGGUUCUGGUUCUCUAAAAAAUAGAACCAGAACCAGAACCGCCGGUUCCAGAACCGUUAAAAAAAUUAAAAAUAAUUAAUAUAAAAAAUAAUAAAAGUAGAGACAUCAUGAUGAUCAUCAUGAUCCACCACAACCUUUUGACCAAGCUCUCAACGGAUCCAAGAGGAAAAAAUUGCAAAGAAGGGCUCCAAAGAAAAAGCUUGUAUUCGAAGAAAAAAAGGGAGCUUCUUCAAUUUUUGCUCUCGGGGGCUCUCAACGGAAGAAAGAAACAACCAUACAGAACCGGAACCGGAACCGGAACCAUAAGGAAUCGAAAUCAGAACUAUGCGGUUCUGGUUCUACCUCUUUGAAGAACCAGAACCGCCGGUUCUGGAACCAGAACCAGAACCAUCUUAUAUGGUGCGGUUCUGGUUCUACCUCUUUGAAGAACCAGAACCGGCGGUUCUGGAACCAGAACCGGCGGUUCUGGAACCGUGGCCAUGCCUACCCACAGGGCAGGUACCCACAGGCACUCACCCCCGUUGCCGUCCUAGGUCACCUGUUCCAGCAAAUCAGGCUUUCAAACCGAAAGGCUUUAAGAACCACAUCAUUUCUUAUGACCCGAAUUAUAUUCAUGCACAAUGAGUUCAAUAGCACCGGUUUCAAAUGAAUCAGCUCCUUCAGUCUCCCCAAUGCAAUGAGAACCAAAUUUGAAAAUUUGCUCAAAUUUGCACAUUAGAUGACAAUUUAGAUUUAAAUGCACCUAAUUUCCAAUUCAAACUUGUCUUCAAUUUAAUCAUAGUAAAGACCUCAAAAUAAAAAGCACACAACGAUAAAUCAAUUGAACUAGCAACUCAAAACCAAUUCCCUCCCAUUUGGAUCUAGUCCACCUUUAAACAGGAGGCAGAUCCAAAAGGAUAUGAACUCGGCUCCUUCAAGUCUUUAGGACCACCAGCUUCUUCAGAGCAUACAAUGGGCCCAUUAGACUAUGACCUCGAGACUUCGGGAUAAGCCCAUAAAGCUAUAAAUUUAACGACGAAAAUUCACUAACAUUAAUUUUGAACUUGAUUUAUUAAUACCUAUUUUUUUUUCUUCAAAUGUUUACUUUUUUAAAGUUUUUAAAACUUUUUUUAUAAGUUGAGAGAUUUCAAACUCCGAACCUCCUACUUAAAAUCCCUCCGACAUUACAACCUAACCUAACCCUCCCCGUCUUUAAAUGUUUACUUAGUCAGUCUUCAUGUUGAUACCUAAUAUGGAUGGUGUGGCAUCAAAAAAAAUGUUGAUAGCUGUGCAUAGCACAAGUUUUUUAUUAUAGUAAAAUGUAUAUGGUCAAGGAGGUAGGUGAAAACAGUUGAAGCGCCAAGCACACUAUAUCAAGUUCAAUGCUUAUCCUUUGUUUUUUAGUGCAAAGCUUACAUUAUCUAAAACUAUAUGUUUUUUUUUUUUUUUGGUUCUUUUCUUUUUUUAACGUUGAAGGCAUAUGAGAAGGUGGAGACAAGGAGAAUUCAUAAUCAAUUUCAGUAAAUUACUACUCCCUCCGUCCCACUUUGAUAGUCUUGUUUUCCUUUUUCGUCUGUCCCAAAUUGUAGUCCACUUUCCCAUUAAAAAAUGUAGUAAUCUUUCAAAUUGUCUAAAAUACCCUUAUUAAAUAUCUUGUUAUUAAUACAUUGUUAUUAAAUACUAACCCAUUACAUUGAAUGCAUUGAGCUUUUCCAAUACUAACCCAUUAGCUGUAACUGAUAUUAAUUGGCACUCUUCGUGAUUAGCAUAAGAGUAUUUUAGGAAAUUAUUAAUCUAAAUUUAUGUUUCCAACCAAAUUAAUUACACUUUCUUAAUCUGUGUGAAAAAAAAACCCAAGACUAACAAAACGGGACGGAGGGAGUAUUAUCUAACUUUGGAAGUUUCCUGUUGAGAAUCUUCACAUGGAACACUUCCGUCCUUCUACAAGUGUCAAUCUUGUUCUAGUAUCUUUCGUUUCUUGUAUGCACCAUUCUUCGCAAAAACAAUACCUCCUUUGCAUAUUUUACACCAAACAAAAACUUAUUUAAAAAGAAAUUCAACAGGAGAGGAAUGAGACUUAAGAAACGAGAAGAGAAGAAGAAAUUUGAACUCAAAGCCUGUAAUUCCUGAAGCUAACCAAACAAAGACUUGGUUAUAAUUACAUGAAUAAUGGUAAAUGCAACAAAGAUGGUAGCAGUAUGCAUGACCAAAGCACAAGCAUCCAUAUGCAAACAUAACAUUCUUCUCUCGAAGUUAGCGAGUUUCUAGUUUUAACUAUGGUGUUUUGACCGGUGGGUCACUUGAGUAUUUGUCCAAGCUUAGUUACUGGAUAGUAGUAUGAGUAGCAGAAUACAAGCCUGUAUAUGAAAAUAUAAAAAUCAUUAUUCUUCUAAAAUUUUAAACACAAGAUAAGUUCAAACAUUCUUUUUUAUUUUUUAUGUCAAUCCUAAACAUACUUUUAUCCCGCAACGGAUCUUCUGUCCCACAUCUUGUGCCACUCUCUGUCCCACUUUUUAUUAUAUUGCUAUUUCUCAUUCAUAAACAUCAUGUUUUAAUUCUUUUUUUGCUUCCUUAAGAUCCAAUAACUAUUAUUGAGUAAUACACAAAAUUUAACAUACUCAAAAAAUCAAAAUGCAUAAAAAAUGAGAUUUUUUAUGAAUUUUCUGCUGUAUUUUUUAAUUUUCUAUUAUAUAUUGCUUUUUUGAAGCUGUUAUAUUUAUUUUUUACUGAAUUAAUAAUUAUUGGAUCUUAAGGAAGCAAAAAAAAAUUAAAACAUGAUGUUUAUGAAUGAGAAAUAGUAAUAUAAUAAAAAGUGGGACAGAGAGUGGCACAGGAUGUGGGACAGAAGAUCCGUUGCGCUUUUAUCCACCUCGUUGAGACUUAUUUUCAACCCUAAUGACAACGGUUUGCACAAGGAAGCCCUUCUUGCCUGUUUUACAAAAUUUCUUGCCUUGCUAGUUGCUCCGAAUUCUUGCUCCUCCCACCCAAAACUCUCGCCUCACUAAACCACCGAAAAAAAAUAUUUUUUGAGUAAACUAACAUAAUAAAAUCAUUCUUUUAUGACAAGAAAAAUUACAUGCUUUAACCAUAAAAACAAUAUCAUAUUAUUUAUUUCAUAUAUAUAUAUAUAUAUAUAUAUAUGUGGAUAAUAGGCCGGAUUUUCUCCCUUAACCCCAGCCCCCCAUUUUUCCCCACCUCAUUCCUCCUUCGUAGGGUGGCUGCUGGUCCCAUUGCUAUCCCUAAGCUAGGCAUGGCCAUGGUUCCAUUUGGAACAAGAACCGAACCGGAACCGGACCGUUUGGAAUCGGAAUCAAAACCAUGGAACCAAAACUAUGGUAAAAAAUAGAACCAGAACCAGAACCGUCGGUUCCAGAACCGUUAAAAAUAAUUAAUAUAAGUAGUGAGAUAAUUCAAAAAAAAUUAGUUGUGUUUAAUAGGUUUUAAGAAAGUUUAAAUUUUAUGGACUUUCUAUAUACUUUAUUAAUUAUUUAAUUAUUUCUAUUCAUCUAAUAUCUACCAUUAUAAUUUGUUAGUCUUAAAUUAUUGCUUACAAUUUUAUUUAUUUAUUUUUUGCUUAUUUGCUAUCAAAUGACAAGUUUUGAUGGUAAUAGCUCAUCUUCAAAAUCAAGCAAGCAAAAAAAUAUUUUUUGCAAUUUUUCUUCAAAUGGAAUCUUCAACAUUGAUGAUUGUCCAACUCAAGAAAGUCAACACAUGACAACCAUUUGAUAAUGUAAUGUAUUUUUUAAUUUGACAAUGUAAUGUACUUUUCAUAAAAUUUAUAUUAUCUAUUUAUUACUUCUUACUCUGUAGAAUAAUAAUAAAAUUAAAAUAUGAUCUUUAUUUUGUAUUUAUUUUUUUACAUUUUAUUUGAAAUUUUAAAUAUAUUGUUAUAUUCGUAUUAAAAUUGGUAAAGAUAAGGAAUUAAAUAAAAUUGUAUACAACUAUACGGAACUGAAAACUAGAACCAGAACCAUAAGGAACCAAAAUCAAAACUGUGCGGUUCUGAUUCUAUCUCUUUGAAGAACCAAAAUCGACGAUUCUAGAAUCGAACCUAUUGGUUCUGGAACCGUGGCCAUGCCUACCCUAAGCGUUUUGUAAGGAUUGGAUAAAUGUCAGGUUUUUCGAUACCGCGUUACCUGCGGCAUUGAUGUAAGCCCUACAGUGUGGGAGUCCCUCUCGUACCAAUAGCAGACGCAUGUACCACCGACUUCUGGGCAUUUGGCAGCUAUUUUGACGCCAAGAAAAAACAUUUAACCCAUCUUGCAUACCUUUGUGUACGAUGACUGAUGUUGAUCAAAGAAGAAGACGUACACAUGAGCUGUCUGAGGAAAUAAAAGGAAAUGAACACCAAAAGAAUAAACAGAUGAGGGCUAGUUUAGUCUCGUGAGUGAAUUGGUUCAUGAUGCAAGGUGGAAAUUGUCACCAACUACCACUCCAUUUGUUAUAUACUCCCUCCGUCCCACUUUGAUAGUCCUGUUUUCCUUUUUCGUCUGUCCCAAAUCGUAGUCCACUUUCCAAUUGAAGAAUGUAGUUGUAUUUUAAUUUUCCUAAAAUACCCUUAUUCAAUGUAAGUUAUUGUUACUAUAAACCUAUUUCAUUUAAUGAGAGUUGAUUCUUUUUUUACCAUCAAUUCAAGUUUCCAUAAAGUUGUACUCUAAUUAAUGUGAGGGUAUUUUAGGAAAAUAGCUACCUAAAUUGAUUGUUCCAACAAAGUUAACUACUUUUUAUUAAACUGUGUGAAAAAAGAAUCAGGACUAUCAAAGUGGGACGGAGGGAGUAAGUUAUAACCACGGCAUUAACAGAUAACUUUAUUGCUCAUAAACGUUUUAACUGCCGCUCAUUUAUGCUAGGCAGGUAACUUUUAUUGCUUGAAGAGUUUUUACUUAACGGAUGUUGAAUGGACAUUCAUAUUUAUUACUCCCUUCGUUUCCAUUUAUUUGAUCAUGUUUGGGAAGUUCAACUUUUUAAAAAUAAUAGUUUAAUUAUGAUGUUUGUGCUUCUCUUUUUAAUUUUACUCCCACAAAUUCAAAUUUUAAAUUUGAAUGUUAACAUACAUAUGAUUAAAAAGAAGGGUUAUAUUGAAAAUAAAAAACUAAAAGGUGCUUUGACUUUUCUAACAUGACAAUUAUUUUAGGACAUUCUAAAGUAGAAAGUAUUAUACUUUCAAUGGAACAGAGGAAGUAAUAUAUUUAAAUUCGAGCAAAUUAUUUAAGUAGCCACUAAAUUUUUAAAAUAGUCAAAGUUUGGUCAUUCAACUAUUAAUAGUAUAUUUUUACCUAUUCAAUUUGAUACGUCAACAUAUGAAUACUAGUAAAUAAAAUAAUUUAAGUUGAACCAAUUCUCAGUUGUUUCUUGACUAAAAUGAGAAGCUUAGUUCAUUUUCGUGAAAAAUACACGCGCCAAAUAUUUGAAUUAAUUACCGAGACCAUUCUCCAAAAUUAUGAGAUGAAACACCAAAAAGAAAAGGAAAAGACGUCGUUCCUUUUCUUGAGAAAAAGAAAGUUUCCAAUCCACUUCCUGACUUCAUGAGACGAAAAGAGAAGAUAUACGACAAUUCUCUUUUGCUUGGUCUCCUGUUCCGACUAAUACUCCUUUUCUAAAACGAAAUCAAGUUCUCAACAAGUCAUUAUCUCUUGUUUCAAAAAGAAAAAUAAAUUCUAAUAGAUAAAUAAACUAAUAUUCUAGUAGGAGUAGAAGACUCUCUAUCCGGUGGAACAUCUGAUUUUUGCAACUUUAAUUCAAAACUUGCCAAAUACCGAGCCUCCAGAUAUGCAGAGUAAUACUUUAUUUCAUUAUUAUCCAUUGAAAUACAUGCAUAGUAUGUUUUACCCAUUGAAUUUAACAAGUCAGAUAGACUACAGGCAUCUUAGGCGUGCCCACGUUUAACUCCAUUUUCAACUUGAAGUGAAUUUUGAAUCCUCUAUGAUUUGAAUUAGGCGAACAAACGAUAAAGUGUCACCUUCCAGACCUUCAAUAUCCUUUGGAAUUAUCUUUUAAUCUUGAAUAGCAUGAACUAACACUUGAAGUGCGUCACGGAACUACUUAGCUUGAGCUUUUGUAAUCGGUCCCAAAGGUACACGAACCUUCUCAACUUAUAUAGCUUACUGUUCACCUUGAUCUCCAUCAGAAUUAUUAAAAGUAUAAACUUUGGAACACUCCGUUUGAUUACACCUUUAAUUCUGUUAGAUAUAAGGAUUCACGCGAUUCACGAGACAUAUUAUUAAUAGUUAGAUAUGUCAUAAUUAACUGUAAAUUAGAUAGAAUGAUUCAAAAUUUACACUUUUGAUAGUUUUGUGAGUACAAACAUACUAAUAAUAGUUGAGCAGGCCAAAACUCAACUAUUCAAAAAGUAUAGUGGCUAUUCAAGUAAUUUGCUCUUUAAAUAUCACCCAAACUAUCAUGCAUAUAUAUAUAUAUAUAUAUAUAUAUAUAUAUAUGUACAUAUACAUAUAUGUACAGACACUAACAAUUAUUACUUUCUCUUAUAUUUAUACACUUUUCUUAAUUAAUCUCAUUUUUUCAAAAAUCUAGCACCAAAGUGGGCACUAGUUAGAAAACCCUUUUAAAUACUCUUGAGGAGAAAUUACCUUGGUAGCCAUUGAACUUUUUGAAUAAUCAAGAUUUGGCCAUUCAAUGAUUAGUAGCAUGUUUUACCCACUGGAUUAUUAAUAGAUUAAAUUUUGGAUCACUACGUUUGAUUUUGCCACUAACUUUACAAGAUCUAACUAUUAAUAGUACGUCUCGUAAUUUAUUCGGAUCCUUAAAUCUAGCAAAGUUAACAGUCAAGUCAGACCGAAUGAUCCAUAAUUCACACUUUUAAUAAUUCAAUCGGUAAAAGUAUACUAUUAAUAGCUGAGUAACCAAAACUUCACUACUUACAAAAUUUAGUGUCUAUCCAAGUAAUUUGCUCUACUACUCCUGAUAAGGUAUCCAUUCUCUUUUCUUCUUUCUUAAAAUAUUGAAUGGGCUGUUACUAUAACACAGUCACAGACGUAUACGGUACACAUUCCUCUAUGUAUAUAAAGAGAGAGAGAGAGAGAGAGAGAGAGUAAAUAAAUGGAAAUGUGAAGGCAGACAAAAGUGUGGGGCAGGAGCAACAAGCACGUCAAGACAGUCACAUGGGCUGAGUAAAUCACGGCAACAGCCUCAGAUUUAUUUGCUUCAAUGUUUCCAACCAAAUGGGUCCAACCACCCAAUUCAAUAACUUCAACUCCGCCAAUUCCCGCAGACCAUCGCACAUUCUUCACUUGAUUUGAUCCGCCGAUUAAGCCACGAAAAUGACCAGAAUUUCCUUUUGUCCUUUCGUGGUUUGUUGACUACCAGCCGACCCAAAACUUGUACAACAAAAAUUGUGUAUUUACUUCUUCGUGUGAGAUUGGCAUAUCAUCAUCGAAGACCGACUAAGAAAUCAGAAAUGAUUUUUAUAAUUUCUUUCCUUCAUGUGUGGCAUAUGGCAUUUUAUCUGAAAAUAUUUUUUAGUUGCCCUUUUUUUUUAUUUUGGAAUUGUUUUCUUUGGGAUCUACAAUGGAAGAAUUGAAAAUUUGUCUGAGUUAGUUUUAUAGGUUGCUUUUCCAAAUUAGUGUUACAAUUUUGGGUUUAAUAACACUUUGUCCCUCUGUACUAAGGGGGGCAGCCAAAAUAAUACAGUAUACACUUUACUUCUCAACUUAAUGGAAGCUGCGUUUUUUACAGUCUCAAAAUAGUAAAAGACUUUUCCUUCAAUUUUGUCCUUAACUUUGAUGACAUUUUGCCCCCUUGAAAUAAGAAAAAAAAAAAAAAGCCUACUUUGACAUCCUCAACAAAUAAAAUAUAUGCUUUGCUUUAACAAUCUAUGAUUAUACAUGCAUUGAAAUGUAAUUUGUAAUGCUUAAAACUAAUAUGUUUUAUUCCAAAGGGUUUAUUAUUCACCAAACGAAACUUCUUACUUGUAAACUUGCUAUAAUUUCAACAUUUUUGCAAGUUACAAUUUUAUAAUUUUCUUUUCGAGUUCGAAUUAGCGGCUUCUACGAUUACAUAGUGUUCACAUUAAAUUAUAGAUAACCCUGUCUGCUGUAAUUUUUUUUAACAUUUACCACAAAUCUUUGACCUCAAAGAAGCAAAAAGAAAUGAGCUAUUUAAGAAAUGAAUAAAUUUGACACCAAUAUAAAGCGUUGGAAAAGCUAUUUUAACAAGUAUUUUUGAAGCACUUUGUCAAACAUUUAUGCAUCAGUUAUAUCAACCAAUGAUAUCUGACCAUAAAAUUAAAAUGUAUUAUCAUGUGUAAUAACGAUAAGGUUAAAUUCAAAGAUAAGUUUAAGUGUCAAGUUUUGUAAUUAACUCCUAAAUUUAAGAGGUAUUAAUUAAAUAUCCAAAGGGUAUGUUUGCUCAUUUAUCACUACAACAUGAGCAAUUUAAUAUCUUCAUCAAUAUUUUUAAUGGUAUUACCAAAAAUAACUGUUAACUAUUUUUUGAGAGAUAAAAUUAUAUGUUAUUUUGAUGGGUUAAAAACAAAAAAAAAACCCCUGUGGUAUACCUAAUACACAGAAAAGCUUCCUCGUAGUUUCAAAACAUACAAAACGACACCUCAUGUUUUGAACUAAAUUGUAAACUAAUAAAAUUCGUUAAACUUAACGAAAAUGACGGUCUCGACUGUUAAACUUACCGGAUUUCGUUAAGUUUUCCGUUAAGUUUAUCGGAUUCCGUUAAGUUUAACGAAUUUUAUUAGUUUACAAUUUAGUUCAAAAUAUGAGGUGUCAUUUUGUAUGUUUUGAAAUUACGAAGGGGUUUUUCUGUGUAUUAGGUGUAUCACAAGGGGUUUUUUUUUUUAACCCUAUUUUGAUUGAUAGGGAAAAAUGUGACCACUCCCCUAGUACAUGGGGUUAAAAUGUUAUUAACCCGACAAUUUUGUGUAUACAAACGCACACAUAAAUGUAUAUAUAUAUAUAUGUAUGUAUAUAUUUAUACAUAUGUAUUUGUGUAUAUAUAUAUAUAUAUAUAUAUUUGUGUGUGUGUAUGUGUGUGCUGUCAAGAGCUUACAAGAGAUACAAAAGGUUCAGCAGCAAAACAAUGUACAAUUUCUUCUCUACGCAUGGUUUUUCUUUUUUUACAAUAUCCUUGAUAUAUUAACACAACUUGAUUAAUUAAUUUAAUGAUUUUAUUUGAAAUUAUUCCUCUAUUUUCUCAAACUUUGCUGUCGGAUUCCAUUUGUUCAUUGGAGACUGUAAAAUACUUAAAAUGCUUUGUAUCUCUAGAAUUGUUACAUUCUAGAGAAGAUUUUAUCCUCAAAAUUUUUUUUUAUAGUGUAUGACCAUUUGAAAAGCUGGUUAAACUUAUUGACCCCCUCAAUGAAUGAAUGAAGAAAGAAUUUGAGUAAAAAUUUCCAACACUUCCCAAUGCAUGGAGAAGGAGGUGUAAACUGUUUUAGGGCAUGCAGUAAACGUGAAUGCUCUCGAAUAAACAAUAUCUCAAUUUCUUAAGUAUCCAUCAACUAAUUUCUCAAGGGAUGCAAAGACAUUGGAUCAAGGUAAUGCUUUCAAGCUUCAUUAAAACUAUUAAGGAUCAAAACAUACUUUAUCCACAAUACAACUGGCUAAAAACAUAAGUUCAAAAUACUAUUACAGACUUCAGUCUUUCAGGUGUUUUUACAGGUUCUUCAAAUCUGUUUAUAUCUGCAUGUAAUUAAUUAGCGUGAUUUCUGCCAUUACUGCAGAUUUAAUGAAUGAUGAUGUUUUUAUCAGAAAAAAAAAAUCUGAGAGUAGCAAUACUCUGUUGCUUUUAGAUCUCAUUCCAAAUUCAAGAAAAUAUUUGCUUCCUACAUUAAAAAACAGCCUAAGAUUGAGUUGUCCCAUGAUAGGAGUCUAGAAGCCUCUGCAUAAUUCUUGCAGGUUAAGCUUAGAUUCGUAUACAUCCAUCUUUAAAGUCUCAUAUAUGUACCAUGUGAUCUAGCAAAUAAAGAGAUUGAAUUUGAAUUGUCUUGCCAUUGUAGAGUUGUUGGAGUAGCUAAUUCACUCCACUAAUGGAUGCGUGAACUUUUGAAGGUCGAAUUUUUCUUGAGGGAACUUCGCAUUCAGUUCAAACCAUUCUAGAUCCUAUGACAACACCUUUUAUAUAAAAAAAAAUCAAGAAACCUUAACUCUCAAUAUGCUAUAAAAUGGUUGGGAGUUCUCUAUUACUCCUACGAGCAAGAACUACAAUCACAACUCGAAACUUGAAAGUACCUUGUUUACAAUUUCUCAUCUAUAGCUUUUUAAUGCCAAGAAAAUCUAAAAGUACCACUUGAGAAGUAAUUGGGAGCACUAAAAUUAUCUUUUUAGAAUUAAAAGUAAUUUGAUUAGAGGGGUUCUUUUUUUUUAAAAAAAAAGUUAAUGUAUUGUAAUCACCAUUUUAUCACACACACAUUAAGUUCUAAUAAAAUUGUUAGAAUAAAAAUUUUCUAAAAGCACCAAAUGAACAACCAUCCUACGUACAUUGAUUUCCAAAAGAGCAAAUUACCCGGAUAAUCGCUAAACUUUUUGAAUAGUCGAGUUUUAGCCACUCAACUAUUAAUAGUAUAUUUGUAUUUAUUAAAUUAUCAAAAGUGUAAAUUUUGAGUCAUUCUAUCUAAUUUUACCGUUAAUUCUGCCGCAUCUAACUAUUAAUAAAAUGCCUCAUGAAUCGUGCAAACCCUUAUAUCUGACAGAAUUAACCGAGCAAUCAGACAGAAUGACCCAAAAGUUAUACUUUUCAUAAUUCAAUGAUAAAAACAUACGAGUGUUAUUAGUUGAAUGAUCGAAUCUUGACUAUUUAAAAAGUUCAGAACCCACCGAGUAAUUUACUCUUUCCAAAAUCAACUAAGUAAGAUCCAUGUCAUUAUGAUUUAUGACCUCAUCCAAAAUUUUUAGGCACAUGCAUGGUGUCUUGUGGGGAGUAUCUGAUGAAAUUUGUUCAAAUUUCUAGAAGUGAUUCUAGCAUGAAAUCCAAAACAAGGUUUCAAAAAUUCAAAUGUACAAAAGGUGAAGGUUAAAAGAAAAGGCAGGCUUAGUUGGAAUCAUUAAAGCAAAGCAAUACAAAGUUCUAAAUCAAUACUCCUAAAACAACACAAAAUGCAAUGCACGGAUUGUGGAGAAAGUUCCAAUUUUUUUAGUCAAAAACGAUUUGUGACAAGGAGACAAAAUCAUCAGGGUGGGUACUCCUUUCCACGCUCCCCAUUCUCAUCCAUGAUCCUUUUUCCCAUCUUCCCUUUGUUUGAGAGUACACCCCUCCCUAUAUAAGCACUGCCCACUUAGCUAAAGCAUAGAAGCCCCAAGCCAUUUUUAACUAAUACCCACUUUCUUCACAAAAUGGCAGUGAACAUUUCUCUCUUGCUUUCUUUCUGCUUUCUCUUCAUAUCCUCUGCCUUUGCAGCUCCUAAACCUAUACAUACUCCUAAACCUGUUCGUACACCUCUUGAAGGUAUUGGCUCAAAUGCACUUUACAUCAUCAUUAUCAGUCCUCAUCUUAAGCUAGAUUUCUCUUCAUACUUCUUUUCUGGCCUCCUCUAGUGGUAGAUCUUUGCUGAAUAUGCAUUCUUGAAAUAUUUGUUUGUCUUGACUCUGCGUGCAUUUUGGUUAAUGGCAUGUUUUCUACUUCUAUGUUUAACUUAAUCUGCUUCUACAUUGUCUUUCAGGACUUCUCCCAAAUGGCAACUUUGAGGAUCCAAUAAAGCCAUCUGACAUCAAGAAAACAACGCUGAUAGGAAAAUAUGCACUGCCCAAAUGGGAGAUCUCAGGCAAGGUUGAGUACAUUCAUGGAGGGCCACAGCCAGGUGGGAUGUACUUUGCAGUUGCACAUGGUGUCCAUGCAGUUAGGCUUGGGAAUGAGGCCUCAAUUUCUCAGACAAUUCCUGUGAAAAUUGGAACCCUCUAUGCACUCACAUUUGGGGCUUCAAAAACUUGUGCUCAAAAUGAGGUCUUGAGGGUAUCAGUGCCACCUCAAACAGGGGAUCUUCCAUUGCAGACUCUGUAUAGCAGCAAUGGUGGUGAUACCUAUGGUUUUGGUUUCAUUCCCAAUACCAAUUAUGCAAAGAUUACCUUUCACAAUCCUGGGAUUCAAGAGGAUCCUGCUUGCGGGCCACUUUUGGAUGCUGUUGCCAUCAAAGAACUUUCCCCACCUAAGCCCACAAGAGGUAAACUUAAAUGCUUUUUCCUGCAUUGUUGUUGCUUUGUCCUUUUUCUUGCCAAACAUUGCACAUGGAUUCACAUGUUGGUCGUAAUGUAAUGAGAUUUCUAUGGCAUGUUUAUCCGUUUAUGCUUUUAUGUGUGCAAAUCUUAAUCCCUGGUUUGGUUAAAUCUCAUCAGAUAGCCAUUGAUUUUCAAUAGCAGGCUAGUGCCAAUAGUCUUUUAGGAAAAUCUUAACCAGAGAUUUGUGAACCAUCGCAAAACCCCAAGUUUUUUCAGCUCCAGAUCUGUAAAAGUUUUUUCAGCUCCGGAUCUGUAAAACUUGUCACAUCUUAAACGAAUAGUCUUUUUCCCACACGGUAAUCUUAUUCCGCGGGUAAUGUAAUAACCUGAAUGUUUUUGUGCUUAACCACUUUCCACAUCUGUUUGAUAACCCAGACAAGUACGCCUUCAUUAAGAAAUUGCAAUGUUGCGCUAAAUUAUAAUUAUUUUGUCUUGAUAACUCAAUUUAGCAUUUAAACUUAAUGGGUUCAGAUCCUAAUACAUUCAGUUGCGAUUAAUAACUAAAAAUAAAAUAUCUGAAUUAAUUAAUAUUAAAUUUUUUUAGACAAAAUUUGACCCUAAAAAUAAGUGAUAUAAACUAUUUACUUAUCACUUAAUGUAAUAUACACUUACAUGUAUGUACUUAAUUAUUUAAUAACUUAAUCGAUUUAGACUUUAGAUUUCAGAGUUUUAUCAAACGUACCCUUAUAGUGGACAGUACUCAAGAAUCCCAUUCAAUGACUACUUUGAGAUCUUGGAAAGGGUUCUCUGUUUGGCCUACUGAACUGGGAAAAAAAAAUUUUCAAGAGCAUAAAGAAUACUGAAACUCCCUUCAAUUUUGGUUUUGGUUCAUCAGUUUCCAAAACAAUCUCUGUUUGUAAUGGCAUUAUUGUUUUCUGAUGACAAUGCAGCGAACUUGGUUAAGAACGGUGAUUUUGAGGAGGGUCCUUAUCGGCUAAUUAACUCUUCCCAUGGUGUCCUCCUCCCUCCAAGCCAGGAGGACAGGACAUCUCCACUUCCUGGAUGGAUUAUCGAAUCACUGAAGGCCGUCAAAUUCAUCGAUGCCAUGCAUUUCAAUGUCCCGAGUGGACGUGCAGCAAUAGAAUUUCUUGGAGGGAGGGAGAGUGUGAUUGCACAGAUUAUUAGAACAGUGCCUAACAAGGAAUACAAUCUUACAUUCAGCGUAGGGGAUGGAAAGAAUGGCUGCCAUGGAUCAAUGAUGGUUGAAGCAUUUGCUGCAAAGUCUACAUUGAAAGUUCCGUUUCAAUCCGUAGGAAAGGGUCAGUACAGGACUGUUAGUUUCAAAUUCACAGCCAUUUCAGCUAGGACAAGAUUAACUUUCUUCAGCUCUUUUUACCACACAAAGAUUGAUGACUACGGAGCUCUCUGUGGCCCUGUUCUUGAUAAUGUCAAGGUGGUCACUGCUAGAUUUUGAUCAAUCAUCAUCAAGAUACAAAAGGGAAGUGAGCGAGCACCUCUGUGCGUUUAGUGGUCUUUUUGUGUUGAUUUCCUCUCCACAGGAUUGGAUUUUGAUUUGUUGUAUGUAGCAACUCUGCAAUUGCCUUGACCAUAAAUAGAUUUCAUCUAAAUGCCUUGCCCUUCCCUGUUUGGCUUCUUAGUGCCUAGCAUGAAAUAGAUGCCUAUAGAAAGACUUAAGGGCAAUUUCCUACUCGGUUGCAAGAGUUUCAGUGAAGAUAUUACUUGUAUGAUAUCUCCAGAAGCUUGGAUUUGAUUUAUUGGAUUUCAAGAACCAUAAAUAAAGCAUUUUUCAAGCUACGACGGCUCCAUAUUACGUUCCAUCUAGCCUGUGAGCUUAACUGUUCUUUGGAUCAUUUCACAACAUUACUAAUCGUCAACUUUCCAUAGACAUGCUUAUGGCUAUACGUAGAGAAAUAAACUGUUACUUUUUGUUUCAUUGUUAUCACUUCUAAUACAAUAUAUAGCUUCUAAACAAGAAGAUAAGUUGAUCUAAGUCUGCAAACCUUGGAAAGAUUAAUAGUUAUAGUUACUAGUACCUAACAAUCUUCAUAGCUUCCCUCGGUCUUUUGUGCCCCAUCAUUUGAGAACAUGUGGCACCCAAACUAUCUUAAUUAACGAUGGCUAAUGGUGCCUAAUGGAAAAACUUGAAAAUGGCAUAGUAUAUCAUUGAAUGGAUAAAGCACCAGCCAUACAAUUGGGACCUAGGCUAUAAAUACUUGUCCUCGCAAGGAACAGAAGCACUAUAUCUGCAAUUUUUUUUUUCGAAGUCUUGAACUAUAUAUAUGAGAUUCCAUGAGCUGUUACAGGUGAUACAGUAGACAUGGUGCAGAAAGAUUAAUGCAGUUGUCCAAAGAUUGACAAAACAAUGUGAGACAGAUCAGUGAGCAAUUACAGUUACAGCAGUAAAGGGAUGAGAAAAGCUAAAAGGCCAAGAAUAAUUCAUAGCAAUUGGCAGUAAAAAAAUCAAAUACAUAACCCCUUGCUGUCAGAAAUGUUAUCCUGCACACAAGUAUUCUAGCAUCCACUCGUAAAUUAUUUCCUUACCCAUCUGACAUUAUCAACGUCAGUCUUCAAAUUGUACAUUCACGUAGGAAGAUGUAAUGUGUCUUAUUCUCUAAGGCAAAUAUGCUUGUCAUAAAGCACUUUU